UUAGGGUGAUAGGUUUAAGACUUUGGAGGGAGGCGCAAUUCCUCGUACAUGGAAUGCGGCUAAUCUCAAGUUUUAUUUUAGUUGAACUCUAGCAUUGUACACAGUUUAAGGGGACGCUCUUUUUCCCUUUUUAAGGGUAUUUUAACGAGGUCACCCAAUAAAAUUAUGAUUGAAGUAUACAUAUUCUCAAAUUUUUUGUACAAUGCAGGGGCGAACCUGUCGCCUUGGUGUUUAGACACCUCGAGAGGGAGUGAUAGCUUCCGCUUAGGACGCCUCCCCCUCGAGCGUGAGCGCCAAGUGCGAACAGCAGGGUUCGGUCAGUGACGAGCCUGUCGCCUUGGUGUUUAGACACCUCGAGAGGGAGUGGCAGCUUCCGCUUAGGACGCCUCCCCCUCGAGCGUGGGCGCCAAGUGCGAACAACAGGGUUCGACCAGUGACGAACCUGUCGCUUUGGUGUUUAGACACCUCGAGAGGGAGUGGCUUCGCUUAGGAUGCCUUCCCCUCGAGCGUGGACGCCAAGUGCGAACAACAGGGUUCGACCAGUGAUGAACCUGUCGUCUUGGUGUUUAGACACCUCGAGAGGGAGUGGCAGCUUUCGCUUAGGACGCCUGCCCCUCGAGCGUGGGCGCCAAGUGCGAACAACAGGGUUCAACCAGCAAUGAACCUGUCGUUUUAGUGUUUAGACACCUCGAAAGGGAGUGGCAGCUUCCGCUUAGGACGCCUUCCCCUCGAGGGUGGACGCCAAGUGCGAACAGCAAGGUUCGGCCAGUUAAGUCCUCCUUUGCCUUUGAGCAAAGACGAGGUCGGUGACGCGUCUUGUGGCUAGAGACCUUGAGAGGGAGGGGCAGUUCCCACGUAGGACGCCCCCUCCCAAACGCGAACGCCAAGGCUCAGCGAAAGGAUUCCCAAUUAAGUCCUCUACUGCCUUGGGGGCGAAGAUGAGACCGGUUGGUGGAUCCUCCCUAAUCGCAAAGUAUGGGUAAGUAUCAGCAAAGGAGUUUCCCUUGUCUAAGCAAAAGUUAAGGCAAGACUAGUUGAAGGUUCACUCAUGCUCACAUCCAUCACGGGUUGCUAAGCAGUUAAGACAGAGGGCGAGAAAGCGUGCUACCUAGAGUUCGAAGUUUUAAAGUUUGUCAAGGACUUAAAGGUGUUAGCAUCAUAACGUUGUUGGUAAGAGCGUCAAGUCAAAGACGCAGUUAUUGGCAAACAAAGAUAAAUAAAGCAAGUAAAGAAAGGUGCGAGUUAUAUUAAAUAAAUGUUUCGGAGGACAUAGUUUCAAAGCCAAAGUUACACAAGUUCCUUUUGAGGGCGCCUUGGCACGAUCUGCCUAUCCACAAUGUGGUUCGACGUUGCGAAGGAGGAGACAUCUAUCUCGAGAUGCUUGCAAGUAACCCGAGCGAGAGCGUCCUCGAACCCUACUGCAUAGGCAUUGGUGGCAUCGUCAAUGAGCUCCGCUUUGGCUUUCCCGAAGGCUUCAGCUUGAGUGGUCAGUUCUGCCUUGACCCUCUCAAGGGCUUCAGUUUGUGCGGUAAGCUCAACCUCUACUUUCCCGAGCUGCACCUCCCGAUCCGUGGCCCACUCUUCAAGUUUGACCAUCCUAGCUUUGUUGGCCAUGGUUUCCUCCUCAAGUUCCACCACCUGGGUACGUAGUGGCACAACCUUGGCCAAUAGAGUGGUGUACUCUUGGCCCUUGUCGAAGAGCUUCUUGUUGGCCUCCAGCUCAGCCUGGUGAAGGGCGUUUACUUCCUGAUGUAGCGCAGUCUCACGGUUGGAGAAAACCUAAGCCUGUUGGGCCAGUUGCUCCUUCGCCAGAGCCAGUUCUUCAGCCAAAGCCAUCUGCUCCUUUGCUUUUGACUCCACCUCGUGGAAAAAGGCGUCAAAUUGGGAAAGGAAUUCUCCAAGGCUGAGAGCCAAGCUCUCCCGCACAGCCUUUCCGCUUGAGCUUCCCAUGGCCCCUCUCUGGUAGCCCUUGAGGAUUUGUUGAAGGACCAGGGGAAGUUCAGGAGCAGGGGCUAGUUCAAGUACGCUCUCACCGCCACCCUCGAGUGCAAGGAGGCCUUGGGAGGAUGAGGCGCUCGGUGGAGCAGAAAGCGCUGAGGCACUUACGUCAGCAACAACAUCUUGACGAAGGGCCAAGACCUCAGCAAGUCUUGCUUGCUUCUCCUCGUUCAGCACCAUGCCUGCAUUAAAACAAAAGGGGAUGAGAAUUUGGCAAGGUUACCAAGAGGCAGGAAGUUAGCACAUGCAUAAGUAUGAGAUAACAUACAAGCAAGGUAGUAAAGAGAUAAAGGGGGGUCAGAAGCAAGGCUCUAUACCAAUGUAGCCCGCGAGACUAGAUGGGUUGUACUCAUGCUUGAUGAGCUCGACUGUGCUGAAGACCACCCCAAGGCUAGCCAGCACUUGGCACACCUCGCGAUCAGCAGAGGAUAACUCAUCAAGGGUCUUGGCUUUUUUAAGGGUUAACUUCCCCACCCAAUACAGAGGAAACCCGUCCAACAGGGUGCUGUCGUGCCCAGAGCAGCACACCUUGAAGAAUUUCCUUUUGAAACCCUUGUAAGAUUGUUGAAAUAAGGUGAGGAUGACUCUCCCUGUCACCCUGCUGAAGCUCACCCAGAGGUUCUUCCCAGGGUUCUUGGCUUCGAAAUAAUGAAGGAAGACGUCCACAGAUGGUGGAUGGCCGAAAUGGUUGCAAAGGAUGGAGAAAGCCCUCACAAAGGCCCAACUAUUGGGAUGCAGCUGGGCAGGGGCAACGUUCACUUCAGUGAGCAGCUCCCUCUCGAAGCUAGUGAAGGGGAGGUGCUGCCUAAUGCGUUUGAAAACAGUUUGGUAGAAGAAGAAGAAAGACUCUCCAUCAUUGGCACGGUUGUCCGUGCACACGGGUUCACCCUCUGCACAGGGACGAACUGAGACGUACGCGUCACUCUCUCUCCCAAACGCCCUACCCAGGAACUCGAGCUCGCUAUGCAGGUGUGCCCUCCAAUCCGCAAUCGAUGUAAGGGUGGAGGUUUCAGCGAGGAGUUCAUCGGAUACCCCAGGGUACAUUUCUCUGUAGUUGACAUUGGGUGGAGGGUUGGAGGUAGUCUUCGUUCGUGCCAUGAUGAAGGAAGCUAAAAAAGCAAGGAGAGAAGAAGGUAAGGGUCCAGCAAGGGGGGCUACGGUGUAAAAAGGAAGAAAAACCCUACGCUCGCAGAAAACCCAGAAAAACAGAGGAACGAAGAGUAAAUGCAGAGGAAAACCUAAACGUGGAAGUUUAAACAAGCCCAAGCAGUUAUCAAUGCGCGAAAUCAGAAAUAAAGAGCAAUCAAUGGAGAAAAAUCAUACCUUUGAUUGUUGAUGAGCGAAAGUUUGGGUUUUUGCGAAGGUAGGAAACCAGAGUGUUCGAAGAAGAAGAUGAAAAGUGCAAUAGAAGUUACAAAUGAUGGAACAGUGCAUGAAGCAUGCACUUUGAAAUACUUAACGUAAACUGGGAAAGCGCAAGCGACGGUAAGUCCCAGCCGUUGGAUUAAGACACGUGUGCACAUAUUAAGAAAGGUACAGGAAAGUGUCAUUUCGAGACACUAUGCACGUCCUGUCACAGGAAACCACGUAGGUCGGCAGGGCGAGAACUUAGUCUCUUCGCUAAACAAGUUGACAGCUCGAGACUGGGGGGCUUGUGUGCCGGACGGUCCUCGGACCUCGACAUUGACCGCAUUUACGGUGGGGCCCCGAAUGCUGGGUCCACUAGGAGGCUGGGAGGAUAGGUCAACAUCUCGCGAAACACACGAGUGAGGGUAGCCGAGGAGGGGGCGGCGUUGAGGUGAAAAGGGUGGUUUCCAAGACACACUCCAGUCAUCAGUAAGGGAGAGACCUAAAUCACGGGGGGUCCAUGCAUGGAGUGUGGGCGGCAGGGUAGGGUGCGACACAAUCAAAGAGCUGUUGAAUCAAGUGUGUUCAAGCUUUGAAAAAUCCAAACCCUUUGAAGGUUGAUGGAAGGCUGGAUGUGCUUGUUGUUGCUGAGCUAUGUUAGAAUAGGAUCUGGGGUAGAUUAUCUGUGUUAAAUCCACUCUUGAUUGAAUUCAAAGCUUAAGCAUUCUCAAACCUUUUAAUUGAAAGUGUUUUUCAAACUAAGUGAAAAACAACUUGUUGUUUUGUCGAAACAACCGAUUGUUUUAUACUUAGGUGUUUUUAUAAAGGUUGAAAACUGUUUUUGAUGGUUGACUUGCUGUCAAACCAAAACAACCGAUUGAUUCGAGCAUUCAGCCGAUUGUUUGUUUUGGACCAUAACAGAAAACUGUUUUGUGCUUUGACUGAGCUUUAAAUGAUAUUAUAACUGAAUACACUCCAGUUUUAAAUGCUUUGACCAGUCUUUGAAUGCAAUAAAUAGUUUGUUCAGAUUUUGUAACAAACAAGAACUUAUUUUUAAUCAAAGAAAAACAGAUUUGAGUUUUUCACUGAUUUUCCUUUUGAAGAGUUGGAGAUUGCUUUGAGAUUGCUUUGAUCAAGAGAGUGUGAUAUAGGAUUUUCAUCUUGUAUUGAUUUCAAAUCUUUUUUGUAACAAGUGUAAUCCUUCUGUACAUUGAAGAAACUCUGUGUGUGAAGCUGAGAAGUGUUGUGUGUUCUUGAGGUUGUCAAGAUCAACAUUCUUAGUUGUGUUUGUGCUGAGCCAAAGGAAGUGUGUGUCUUGAGGGGAUCAAGGUCACUUCUUUGGUGGUGUUGUAAGUAAUCUAGGGUUGAUUGCUUAGUGGAUUCCGCAGUGGUUUCUGGGAAGACUGGAUGUAGCUCUUGGUUUAAGAGUGAACCAGUAUAACUCCGUGUGUACAAUCUCUAUCUCUCUAUCCCUUGAACUCUUUAAAUUCAGUUUAUAUUUGUGAACUAGUAUAAACAACCGAUUGUUUUUAUGGUGCUGUGCUAAAUUGCUUUGUGUUUUUGGCAAACUGAUUUCUUAAUCAAGUUUUCUCGAAGUAAUUUCAUUCUAGACUUAAAAGUUUGCAAAAACCCUCUUUAAACCAUUCACCCCCCCCCCUCUAGUUUAAAACCAUACAUUCUAACAAGAGCCACUGGGAAAGAGACGACCUGUGAGGGUCACAUUCUAGGGUGAUUUGCAUGCAUGGUACGUGAGCAGCUAGGGCACUCCUAGGGCGGAUGAUCCCAGAGAUUGGGUGCAUGAGUUGGCACCCAAGCAGUCAUCCCGCGCCAACUGCACUUUGGAAAGGGAGUCUUAUGCACUAAAGGCCCUCAGAGCGGGUGUUAGUGACGCUAAGGCAUACCUACAGUAAGGCUAGUUACAGUUAGCGAAAGUGGCAAAAACACUAGAGUAUAUAAAGGGUAACAACCAACGUAAUAAGGUACGCAUUUCUAAUGCAAGUAACACACAGAGAGAAUACACACACACAAAGCUCUUAGAGUUAAGAGUUUUUUGGUGUUUCUUUGCCCGAGAGUUUGACUUGAGCGUCAGAGUUUAAACGCCUGCGAGGGCGCCCUUUGUCUCUUUGUUUCAGGUGAUUCUGUCGGAGGUAAGGCACGUAGAGACGAAGGGAUUCUUGAUCGCAAGGGUGUCUUAAGUGCACAAAGACAUUUAGGUCAACCGGCGGGAACAAUAUGGUUCUUAGUGAGCCUCCCUCUUGCAUGAGAACGCCAAGGUCAAGACAGUAAGGUUCCCAGAUAAAAUCCUCCUUUGCCUCUAUACGACAAAGGAAGGUCAGUAAGUGAACCUCUCCCUUGGAUUAGAAACACCAAGACUGGGAAUAGUACGGUUCUUAGUGAGCCUCCCUCUUGCGUGGGAACGCCAAGGUCGAGAAGAGUAUGGUUCCCAGAUUAAAAUCCUCCCCUGCCUCUAUACGGCAAGGACGAGGUCAAUAGGCAAACAUCUCCUUUGGGUUAGAAACACCAAGAUUGGAAAUAGUAUGGUUCUGAGUGAGCCCCCCUCUUGCGUGAGAACGCUAAGGCUCAUAAUAGAAUAGUUACCAGUUAAAUCAUCCCUUACCUCUAUACAGCUAGGACGAGGUCAGUAAAGGAGAACCUCUUCCUUGUCUUGUAAGGCAAGGUCAGUAUGGUUCCCAGUUAUAUGUCUCCCUUACCCCUAUGUGGAAAGGUCGAGACCAGCUAAGUGAGUCUCUCCCUUGUCUUGUAAGACAAGGCCGAAAAUAGUGAGGAGUGUAGGGGUUUUGAGGGGUUUAACGUAUACGAAGAAGCGCAAGCGGCAACGAGCCUUAACCGUUGAUCCUGCCACGUGUAUGCUGAUUAAAAAAGUAUGGUGAAACGUCACUUCAGUGCCCUGUUCACGUCCCGUCACCCUAGCAUCACGUAGGUCGUCGUGGGUGAUCACUUAACCUCUUUGCUGAAACAAGUUACAGCUCGAGCCUGGGGGGCUUGUGUACUGGCCAAACCUCGGACAUCGACUGAAGAGAUCGGCAUCAGACAUCAGUCAUAUUAAUGGGUCACGUAGGUAGCCCCCAGAAAUACUAAUGAGUUAUUAUCCAUACAAGAGAGGGACCUAAGUCACGAGAGGAUUCAUGCAUGUGGUGUGAAUAGCACGUUCAGGUCUAGCAGAAGUAAAUAACCCUUGGAGACGCUAAGGCCCGUUAGGGUGAGGGUUUCCAAGGGUAGACUGCAUGCAUGACACGUGAAUACUUAGGGCACCUAUAGAGCAGAUGGCCCCGCAGCGCUGGUACAUGAGUUGGUACCCUAGGAGUCGUGCUAUUAGAGAUUUUGCACUCCAAAAGAGUCAAGUCUUGUGACGCGGCUGUGCUAAGCUUGUGCAACGGGUCACAUAAUGCCUCACAGUAACCCUAAUUCCACUAAAGGAAAGAUACUCGUGGGAGAGGGAGUUGACCUAGAUACAACAUAAAGGGUGGUAAAAACCCUAGAAAAGGUACGUCGUUUCUAAGACUGAAACUGCUCUACAUACUUUACUGUUUCUUAGCAUAGUACUGACUUGAUUGUCAGAGUGCAAUCAACAGGUAGGACCCCCAUCUAUUUCAACGGAGUCACUCUUAGCUAUCCAAAAAGACAGCUGAAACCACUAGAAAAUAGAAGGAACCACCAUCUGUCUUCGAAGUCAACAACGACUAAGUCAACCGACGAGAACAAAUCUUAUAAACAUGUACCACACCUGAAAAUCUUAACUUUACUGUUAGACUAGAAAAAUAUUGUUAAGCCUAUUUUGAGCUUAAUUCGAAAUCUUGAAAUUUAAAUGAACCUAUUUGAAUAUAACGGGCUAACUAAUCAUUUAUCUAGUUAAAUCAUUAUUUUUUUCUAGUUAACCCCAAAUUUUUAUUAUUUAAAUAUUAAAUAUAUGAGAUUGCAGUGCAGUUCUUAAAACAUUUGUUGCGUUAAAACAUAGAAAUUUUACCUUGGAAGUGUUAAACCCUUUGGCAUUGUGGAAUUUGAAGGAUAACACAAUUCUUAUUUAUCUAUUAUUUUAUCUUCUUCUUCUUCUUCUUCUUCACUCUGAGACUCCGAGUGAGUGUGUAUGAGUUGGGGUAGCCAUGGGGAGUUCACGAGAGCGAUUGGUGAAGGCGGUGAAAAAGUUCGUGGAUGUUCGGUACAAGGUUUUCAGCAAUCGUUACGGUCCAACCAUCAUCGACAUAUUGGACUUCCCAAUUAAGGUUGUCUUGUCUCCCUUCACUCUCGCCUUCGACAUUGCCGGCUCUGCGCCUCGCGGCUUCGGCGUCCCCGAACUCAUCUCCAAGCUCUCUGCCACUUCCGUCUUCGUCAGUCUCUUUCCCUUUUCCCUAUGCAAUUUUCUUCUCUCUCACUUUUUCUCGCUAUUUAUCUAUUGUUUUGUACAAUAUGAUUCCCUAAUUUCUGGAGGAAGUGAUGAUUACUGGUAGCCGGAUUGCCUCUGUAGAGAUACUUGUAGAAGGCACAUGUGGUCUUGAAAACUAUUAUUUUCACUAUCCUGCAUUUAUGUAGUUAUAUAGAUAUAGACAGGAAAGUAAUUGCUGUUGUUUUUCCAGUUUCUGAAAAAAAAAAGUUAGAAUGAAGAAGCUGAAAACAAUGUAAUAUUUUGGUAAUGAUUAGUGAAAUUGAAAAUGAAUAAGAAAGGAAUUAUGUUAAACCAAAUAAGUAUUUUUGGAAGCCAUUUUACUUUUUAAAUUUUUUAUCAUUUGGAUUAUUGAUGGGAGUUGUAUUCUCUGGAAAUUUUAUCUUGUUAGUUCUAGGUUCAAUUUUUGUUUUAUUUUUAUAAUGAUAGAUGUUGCUUCAUGGCUUGGUUGUAGGCUAUAGCUGCUCUUGGAACUUAUGACAUUGCAUUUGAGCUGGGGAGGAAGGUGCUAUGUCAAAGGUGCUGUUUGUAUUCCUUGAUUGUGGUUUUGUUGUGUCACUUGAAUACAUGAUACCUUGAAUCUCUUAUGAGUUUAGUGUUGCUCAUUGACUUUUGUAAACUCUAACUAAAUGUGUGUCUCAAGAACAGGAAUUGUAAUACAUGUAGUGGAUGGCGGGCCUUGCGGUGUACAAUGUGCAGAGGAAGUGGGAGGGUGCAUUAUCAAGUCAAGAAUUACACCUUGAAGAGGUAUGUGACUCUCCAUUUGGAUAAAUUUAGAGGUGGCGGUGAGUAUUACUAUGUAAAUGUGGUUUGUUUGGUGCUCUUGUUGAAAUUUUUAAUAGAACCCACAAACAAUGAAACUUGCAAAAGUUAUUUCAAGAUCAUAAAAGUUGAGAUUCUAGUUGAAUUAGAAUACGUUGCAAUCUUCGUCAUUUGGGGUCAUGCAUGAUUACUUAUGUAGUUUGUCCAAGCUUCCAAGAAAACUACGUAAUAAAUACUCACACAUACACAAAGUUCAGAUGGGAAAAAAGCUACUCCAUCAAAUCCUUAUUAUAAGACACUGUUAACAGAAUUAUAACUGUUUAAUGAGAAAACGAACACAGUCUUUGGGACUUGAAAAUGUUGUAAUAGCUUUUCAUUGGGAAAUACCUGAAUUAUAACUCAGCCUAUAUCUCUCUUUUUUAAAGAAAAACCCCAAAGUAGAUACCAAAAACAUUUAGUAAAGGAAAACCAGUAAAAAAGAUAAAUGUAUCAUUGGAGUAUAAAGUCACGUAUAAAUUGGACCAUAUAGAGCAUGUACAAGGUGUCUUAUAAUAAGGACCGGAGGGAGUAUUUAAACACAUACUAGUUUUAUGCCAAUGAAUUUUUCUAAAAUGGUGGUUGACCUAAAGUCACACUAAAUUAAUAUAUUAAUAUCUGAACUGCAAUGAAAAUAUCUGCUGUCAAGUAAGGAAAUGUGUAUCUGAUUUAUAUAAAAUGGGCAUAAGAUAGCUCAGUAUAUUUUUAGUGGAUAACUCUCUUCUAUUUUGAUUUCUUUUAGUGCACGUCAUUUAUUAUUUUGAGAUUCUCCUCCAAUUUGUAUACACCUUAUAUGUUCUUCAACUUUUAACUUUUAGUGGAGAGAAGCCAACUGCUGAAUCUGUAGCAGACGCCAUUGCCAACAAUCGGGCUGAGUUGGUGCAUCUACCGUCAUCCUUGGAUUUUCAAAACCCACUCCCUUCAAAAGAGUGUCCAACUUGUGAUGGAACGGUGGGAGUUAAAUUCCAAGACAAUUUGUCUUUUCAUCCAACAUUUUGUUUUCAUGGAUAGGUUCAUUCCCGCUGAAGUAGUAAUUCAUGAAUAAACUUUAGUCCUCCCCCUGCAUGCGCACACACCUACCCACCAUAAAACAAUUCUACUUUGAGAUCAAUAGUUAGUCUCAUAUGUUCUUCAUCUGGUAGCUUUAACAUUGCAAUGUGUUUUGACCUUUUUUUUUGAAGAAUUUAUUUCACUUUACACAGGGUGCAAUGAGCUGUCCUGAAUGCAAACACAGAUUGGUGCAUGUUAGGAUCUCAGCAGAUGAUGUGGGUAUUGUUGACUCUUUGGUGCUUGGUUCUUUUCCCAUUAUUGAAUUUAACUCGUUCAUAUUUGAUCUUUAAUAUUACCUGUGAAGUUUUAAUAAUCUAUUUAUAAUAUGUAGCCAAAUGUGGCUUUGGCAAUUAAACUAAUCUUUUGUUUCCACACCAGUAUUUUGAUUGAUAUGUCACUUAGUGAUUCAAUACUAUAUUUUCUCGCUUUCUCUUAACCAUUUUUUACCCACAUCAGCAACGGCAAUUUUUAUUUUAAUUUCUUAAAUGAAUUAGAAUCCAUCACUUACAUUGUAUAAUAACCAUUGAUUAGUGGAAACAGUGAGUUCUUUUGAUGUAAUUAUACUUGUAAUUGCUUCAAAAUAAAAAAUUUGCUUCCUCAACAAAUAUUUUCUCAAACACUUGGUCGAUUUCUCUUGUAACAAUGACAGUAUUUAAAUCUUGCAAAAAUCUCAUAACUUUUUAAAGAUUUAUUGGAUUAUUUAUUUUACUUCUCAAUGAUAUGUAAAUUAUUAAAGUUAAAAUACAUGCUAUCGGAUAGAUGCUAAAAUUAUCUUAUUGAUGAACUGUUUAACAAGUUGGUGUAAUGCUGGUUCAUAUUAUUUUAAGCAUCCUUUUCUUUGGGCAGAUUAUGGAGCCCCCUUGGCAAGCUUAUAAUGUCUUGAAAAAAAUGGAUUACCCAUAUGAGGUUAGUGUUAUUUCUUCUAAGAUCAAAUUUGAUUCUAUUAAAUAAGAAAUUCUAUUGUCAUUAUUUAUUAUUGACAAUAUAAUACAGAUUCCUCUCAUAUGCAACUGAACAAACCUUGAUCCUAGGCAUUUGUACUCAUUUCUUUACUUUUGUGUGCAUUGGAAUUCAUGUUUCUCUUAUAUUAGCAUUUCAUGCAAACUUUUGUUGGUUAAAUAAGUGUGUCAAGAGGAGACAUAAAAUAUAAAAUUUAUUCUACUUCUGAUUUCUCACUCUUUUUUUUGACAUUGAAAUCAUUAGUAUAUGUUUUGUUUUUUCCUCUUUUCAGCACAUAGUUCACAGCAUGUUUUGUUUUCUCUUAUAUUAGCAUUUCAUGCAAACUUUUGUUGGUUAAAUAAGUGUGUCAAGAGGAGACAUAAAAUAUAAAAUUUAUUCUACUUCUGAUUUCUCACUCUUUUUUUUGACAUUGAAAUCAUUAGUAUAUGUUUUGUUUUUUCCUCUUUUCAGCACAUAGUUCACAGCAUGAAAGAUCCUAGUAUUGCUGCAUUUUGGCUGAUUACAUUUCCUCAGAUCAUGGGUGGAUUUACCUAUGAUGAUGAUGUGAAGCAGAAAAUAUGGUGGCAAUACAAGGUUUACAUUUCUAUUCCUUUCCAUAGUUCAGUACAGUUCAUCUACUAAUUAUUAUCUUAUGAUAAAUGAUUGCUUGGUAAAAGAAAUGAUGAAAUUACAUACCUGCUUUAAACAAAUUUUAAUUGCAAAUUUGUCAUGAAAUAUGAAUAUAAGGUGAAAAUACAAUGUUAAGGCCCAGGAUUAAACAAAAGAAAUGUGUUUUUGCUUGUUUACCCUUAUAUUUUGGUUAGGAAUGUGGUCCACAAGGAUAAUAAUAUACAACAAAAGUAACAUAUUUCUGUCCUUGCUACUUUCAGAUGGAUGAGAAUAAUUUUCAAUGACCUGGUUUUCCUUUUGUUCUGCAUGCUUGCAAGUGAAAAUUUAAUUUCCUCUAUUUUCUACUUCUGUCAAUUCAUUUUUACUCUCCUUGAGCUCAGUGGAUCGUGCACCUCAGUUCAGAGAUUGGUAUUUGUAGAAUUCUAAUUUUGUGAAAAUACAAGAAACAACUGAUCUGAAUAUAUGAAUCUGUCAGCUUGUAGCUUUUUGAAGGUUUCAUCCCUUUUUCCAGCACCAACAUAGUUUUCCAAGCACCUAUGCUGUUUCAUCUGCGUGUGUGUGUUUUAAUACAGAAGGAUUCAUGGGACCAAUUGACUGAAUAAUCCUGUGUAUUUCUCUAGCCGGCAAACAUAAUGUGUUGGAAGAUUUUCUUUGUACUUAGUACUUUGACCUGUAUGCCAGUAACUAUUUGGAAUUUCAGAUUGCUUAGGAAAAUGGUGCGGGAAAUUGGAUUUAAUAUUUAAAAUGGAAUUGAAAAAAAGGGAAUGAAGGUCAUAACCCUAUGAUUAUACAACCUUUCAUUCGAUUAACCUUUUCAAAAGUUAAUCAGACAUUAUGCAGCCUAAAUCAUCAUCUGUCAUGUUCAUUCUUUAUAGAAGUUGGUCAACUCUAUGUCUCUAAAUAUAUCUAUUUUCCUUUUCCUUUUGUGAGUGAAUUUAGGAAUCUAGGCGGUAUGAUCAACUCCGAGAUGUGGUGGCCAAGAGGAAACCUGGGUGGGAGUAUCUGCAGGAGGUAAGCUUUUCAUCCUUUGCACUAACCAUGGCUAUCUGGUAAUGCCUAUGCUCAUAUUUUAGAUGUGGAAGUCACAAGCGAUAUAAAUGUUGGGUAUGCUGGGGAUUAGUUGCUAAAAUAAAUGGACGAAAAGCUUAUUCUUUUACUAUUUUUCUGAUAAUUAUGGUAGUUUUUUAUUAGUUGGAUGCUAGAUAUGGAGUUAUUUAUGUGGUUGAUUGACGGUGGCAUUCAUCUUAAAUUUAUGUAAUUUUCUCUGGAUUAAAUUUUACAAUGUUUGUUUAUUUUGAACUGAUGUUAUCAUAGGCCUUGAUAUCUAUUGAUCCUGACCGUGCAAGGGAUGAUCCUGUCAUAGUGAAAAAUGUCCCUUACUAUAAGGCUCAGAAGGCACUGGAGACAGAGGUUAUGAAGCUUGAUCCUCCAGCAAGACCGUCAAAUUGGGGUGUACGUAUUUACUAUCUACACGUAACAUUUGCUAGUUAUUCCUUCAGUUAAUGUGCACAAUUUUCUUUCAAAUUAAUUUAUAAUGUGUUUUUGAUAAUUGCACUGCUUGAAUUCUUUAUCCCCAGUUGGUUAGAAUGCGCAUAUAGACAGUUGCAUAUACUGGAUUGACAUGGUCAGUAUGACUUAAAAAACAAGCUGGCCUCUAAGCUGGUCUAAACAGGCCUCUUUAUGUAUUUGCAGUGAAUAAGUCUAAUGUGGGUGAUCCACCAGGAUGGGCUAACUCGGUUUAAAUAUUUUUGGCUUCACAAAUUUGUUAACACUGUACAAGGAUGACCCUUUUGAAGUGCAUUCUACUACAGAACACUUCCGAUGUUUUCUCCUUUUAUUUCUUUAAGCUGUUCAAUGGAAAAUCAGUGGGGCGUAAACCUUUUGAAAUUGCGGCGAGCCUCUGGCUCAAAUGCGUAAAAGUGAGAAUAUAAAUUUAACAGCAUGCAAAAAGGGUCAUAAGAUAUUCAUAAAAUAUGCCAUCACAACUUUUCACUACAAAAUAUAUUGUUAGGUUGGUCACUCCCACUUCCAUUUGAAAAAGGAAAAUUAUAAAAGUAGUGUAGGUUGUAGGCAUAUCCUUCUCAGAAAUGAGACAUAAACUGCAGAGAAUUGGCAGGAGCUGGACCUUCCAUUGAAUGCAUCGUCUUGGAGUGAGGAGGAUCUCAAAAAUCCAGAAAAGUUCUAUGAAAUGACUGUUCUUCUUAAUGCCCAAAGAGAAAUCUCUGAUAAGAUCUUGGAUGCACAGUGGGAAACUAAAUGGCGUCAGGACAAGGUUGGUGGUUUUUUUGUCUUUACAAUUAGUUACUUUGUUUAUGUUGAAAGGAUCAACUAAUCAAAAUCGACAUAUGCUGUAAUCAGGCAUUUCAUAUGAUGAAAUAAUAAUGUUAAAUUGUGUGUACAAUUGUCUUGUCCCAAGAUCACACUCUUUUUUUUUAAUCAGCAUCAAGAUCACACUCUUGGCCUUUUUAGUUUACAAUGUUCAUGUAUGCUUGGGUUUUGCUUCCAAUUCAAGAUUUCAAGCUGUCUGUGGUUUGAGUUGUGUACUUAACCGCUCUCAGAACUAUUACAUACCUUUAAUAUAUGUUCAGUUUGUGGAAUAUUAUAUUAUUCUUGCACACUUUCAAAUGUCGCUGUCCAUCAAUCUUUUGUGCAAGUGACUGACUUAAUUUCACCUUCAGUUGAAUGAGAUGUUGGAGGCCAAGGUGAAGCCAUUCAUUCAGGAUAUAGACAACGCAGUUCUUCCUGAGCCUAUUUUAAUAAAACCACAAAAUCAGGAAAAGGUCUCUCUUUUCUCUGUUAUUUGCGUUCGAACAUUCAUUGAUUAUGCAUGUUGCUCAAGAUAGACAACUUUUCUAUUUUAAUUAAUUUGUACAAUCUCUUCUAUAUUUGUUUUUUCAAAAACUGAUUUUUAAUUUAUGUAUAAACUAAUUUUACUUUAAGAAUUUUUUUCUUCAUUUUUCCAUGUUUUUUUAUAUUAUAAGUGCUUUUGGAGAAAUUUUAUCGAAAACAUGUCCAAAUUUAUUAGCUUUCAUUUUGAAGUUUUCAUUUUUCCAUUUUGAAGUCUACUGUAUUUUUAGAUUACGCAAUGUGCAGUUUGUUGCAUGACUGAAUUUUCUGAUUGAAUUUUGUAAUUUCCACUAUUCCUUUCAUCGUGUAGAAGAUACGAAGUUAAACUUCAGAGCUGAAUAAACAUUUAGAAGUUCAUUAGUUGUUCGUCUUUGAAAUAUAAUAGGAGGAAGUUAAUGUUUCCUUAUUAUUAUCAUGUUUUACUUUCUCAGCAAUAUCCCUCUCCUAGUUUUAGGUACAGUGAUGAUGUGAUUUUCUUACUUUGCAUGUUGCUCCUGCAGAGACAACGGCGAAGGUGGUUUUUCUUUUGACAACAGGGACAAAGCUACUAUAAAUAUGCUCCAGCAUGCUUGUUUGUAGUCCUACUAUUUUUUUGGCAUGAUCUGUAACUAUGCAUAUUGUUGGAAGCCUGGAUUCAGUGUGUAUCAUGAAGCACACAUGUUGUGCCUCUGUUUUGGGCAUCAUUUUGUGGAGGAACCAAUUGUUUUUGACACAAGUAAUACAACUUGUGGAAAAAAGUCCAGAGAGACAUGCAAGAAGAAACAAAAACCUUUGCAGAUGUUACAUUUUGUUGUUGUGACAGACAUGUUCCGAAGAUACCAUAUUUGGGUUAAAUUCCUUUCAAUCCUGUCUUACUGAAAUUUCCUGUAAUCCAAUCCUUCAUGUUGUUUACUCUCAACUGUUCUGUUCACUGCUGAUAUAUUUGAUGAUUUUUACAUUCACCUACGCAUUACACACACUAACACGUAGAAUCAAAUAUCAAAAUCCACUAUUUGAUUCUUAUAGUGUCGCUAAUAAGUAAUUUUGAUCAUUCUAAAAAAUAAAUUACACAUUUGGUUAAAUUUUUUUUAAUUAAGUUAUUUUGAUCUGAUAUUGGUAUAUAAUUUGAUUUCUACGUAUUUUCAAUGCUAAUAAAUGCUACAAUUUAUUAUUAAACAUUAUUGUUAAUGUUCUAUGUAAACAAGUAAUUAGCAUUGUUAUAUAUUAAUAUUUUUAUUUGAAAUGUAAUAUCAAAUCAAUUGAAAUUAUAAUUGUUUAAUUUGAAAAUCAAAUAAUCAGAAGUACAGUUAAAUUUUUUGUAACUUCAAAUUGCUGUUUGCUUUCAUACACAUGCAUAUGCAGGCAUAAAUCUAUGUUGGAAAUUCAACUGUCUUUAUCAAGUUUUAAAUUUUAUGCCAAGAAAAAGUCAGUGGCGAUUUUUUUUCUUCUAAACACUGAGAUAGCUUAGGAUUUAAAGAUAAGUAUGAUUGACUCACUUUUCAAAAUCUUUUGUUUAGUAUUUACUUGUGUGUUUUGUUUUCAACUUAAUCUAAGACCAACCUUAAAGUUCAUAAAGUAAUAUUCAGAUAUUUCGUUUUACGCGUUUAAAUAUUUUUAUAGAAAAAUAUAUUAGAGAUAUUUUAUUUUUUAUAAAUUUUUAUUCUGUUUUUUUUUUCUGUAUUUUUUCAAGCAUCUUAUAUUUUGUCACCUUUUAUACAACUUUAAACGUCGAAUUGUCAUGUUUUAUUAAUUAUUAUUUAAUAUUUUGUGUUUUCAAAUUUCUAUUCAUUUAAGAAAUUGUGCUAAAAUAUUUCAAUUUAGUGGUAAAUAUUUCUUUUAAAAUUUUGUAACUCAUACUUUUACUUCAGUUUUUCAGUUAUUCUCUUCAUAAUUUUCAUAUUUUUUAUAUUCACUCUUUUACAACUUCAUUUCAUUUCAAUUAAGAUAUUUUCUGGGAGAAAGUAAUAUUAAAAGUAAGGUUUUAAAAUUAUUUAGAAGGUAUAUNNNNNNNNNNNNNNNNNNNNNNNNNNNNNNNNNNNNNNNNNNNNNNNNNNNNNNNNNNNNNNNNNNNNNNNNNNNNNNNNNNNNNNNNNNNNNNNNNNNNUAUAUAUAUAUGAGAUUUUUCAUUAUAAUCGUUUUUUGGUGUACACAAAUUUUUUCCAAUUCUAUCCUUAUUAAUAUAUCAUAUUUUAUUAAUACAAUGGAGUAUUUUGUCAUUUCAUAUGAAUUACUUAAAAUAUAAAAUUAUUUUUUAAUUUUUUAAAUUAAUAUUAAUGUACAGUUUGUAUAUGACUCUCUCACUCUUUUCUUAUUUCCUUGUUUUAAGGCAACAAAAAGAGUAUUCUCUCACACAUUUCUAUACAAAAUCUCACAUAUAAAAUAAAAGAACCUUCACUUUCAAUCACUCUCUGCACUCUAUUUUUUUUUUAAAUUUCGACUCACCCUAAAUUAUUUCUGUAUGUAUGUUACAUUUCUAUCAUCUUAAAAAAAUUAAGUAAAAGAAAAAAAUAUGGAUAUACAAACGCCAUUGCGUCUUUGUUUCCACUAAUAUUAAUAAUAAUGUGCGUUAUAUUAGAUAGUUUUUUUGUUACAUAAUAGUAUAUAAUUUUAUUUUAUAUUAUUUUUAAUAAUAAUGUAAAUUAAAUUUAUUCAAAAAUAUAAUAAAUUGUUAAUAUUUGUCCUAUAAAUAUUUAUAUCUGGUAAUAUGUAAAAGUAGUGUGUAGUUGUAUGAUAUAUUUUGUAAUAUUUAUAUUUAUUAAUUGAUAUGUAUAAUUUUAUAUUUAUAUUAUAAAAAGAAGAUCCUAAGAACUUGAGUAGUGUGUUCACAUGCUUCAUCUGCAUUUCCACUCUUACUUUCCAAAUAGCCAACUCGUGACACACCUCACUUUCACACCAAAUAGCUUACACCUACUUUAAAAAUUUACCUUGUCAUUUCACAUAACCAAAUAGCUUAUUAAUUGUUAGACAUCUUAUGUUAGAUUAGACACCCUAUUUUAUUUAUUAAAAUUUUUAUUCUCUAGAUACAUUUAAUUUAGAGUAUAGAAUUUUCAUCAAUCAAAUUUUAACUAAAUGAUUUAUGGAAGAAUGAGUUACACUUAUACUUUUUUAUAUUUUUUUUAGUAAUUCAUAAUCUAUCAUAUUUGAGAUUUGAGUUUGUUUAAAUUUUUUUGUUAUGUUAUUGGUAUGAACAUAAUGAGUUAGAUUUAUAUUUUUUUAGCAAUUCAUAAUCUAUUAUAUUUGAGAUUUGAGUUUGUUUAAAUUUAUUUGUUAUGUUAUUGGUACGAACAUACAAUGUUCGCAGCAUAAGAUUUUACAUCAACUAAAAAUAAGAUCAACGUAGUAUAGACAAAUUUCAUCUUACAAGAUAAAUUAGACUUUUAAUUUUAAUAAAUUUUAUAUUAAAUAAUUAUAAACCGUCCAAAUUUCAUUGUAUUAUAUUAGGGGUAUUAAGUUUGUGUUUUAUCCAUAUAUUCAUGUAUGCAAGAGGAGUUCGUUUUUAUAUUCUCUACUUUGUUUUAUUUAUAAUUUUUUUACUUCAAAUAAUUUAUAAUCUAAUUAUUCAAAUGUUUGUUUUAUUUAUAAAUUUGUUACUUCAAAUAAUUUAUAAUUUAAUUAUUCAAAUAUCUGUAACUUACAAAAUUUGUAUUUUCAUUACUGAUAACUUUAUUAUUUAGAAAGUUUCCUAUUUAUUUAUUAUUUUAAAAUUAUUUUUUAACAAAUGAACUAAAUCAAAUAGUAAUAAUUGAGAUUCCUUAAACAUUGAAGUAAGUGUGAUAUUUAGUGUCAUUAUUAUGUUAUUCCCUUGAUAUAUAUCUAGAGUACUUACUUGAUCGUCGGAGAACCUUUUGCAGGUUUACUCCUGAUCGAGCGCUAAGGAACUGAGGAACUGAAGAGUUGAUAUCUGAAGAAGGGAAAAAGAUGAAUAACCGAAGCACGAGAGAGGACGACCGAAGGAACAAUUACUUGAAGAGCGACCAACACCAACAACAAUUGUCAUGCCAAUCUCAGGUACUAUUUAGGCCCACUUUGUCUAUACAAGUACAUUUGACACCCAACGUUGGACCUAAAUAGAGUCAAAGCAAACAACAAUGGUUUCGACAAGGUAGAUGAUGAACAAUAGGAUGCUAGAAGUGGAUCAGAUCGCUAUUUUCCAGGCUCUACAGAAAGAGGUGGAAUAAAUAUGCUAAAAGAACAAAGACGAGGUUACCCUUCGUCGAAAGAAUGAGGAGGAGAUGUGAAUCCUUAAGGAACAACAUGAACAGAUGAAGCGACAGCCAGUUGAGCCCAUAUUUGGAGCCGAGCGUAGGUAGCGUAGACAAACUCCUCCUCAAAGGAGUGAACACACACAAAAUCACGAGAGAACGACUACUACUCGAACUCAGACUUAUCAAUCUUCUAGACCGCAUACAGAAUGAACAAUCAUCAUAGAAGACGAGUACGAAGAUACCACAAAUCCGGACGAACACAUUGAUGUAUACAAAAUGCAGAUGGACCUCUACACAUCAAACAAGUUGGUGUGGUGUUGGGUAUUCCCCACUUCGCUGAAGGGGGAAACAUUCAUUUGGUUCACCAGGCUUCCAUUCGACUCAGUAGAUAGCUUCAAAACCUUAUUAUCUAAACUCGGUACUCAGUUUGCAAUUAGCCGACCGCAUCAUCUGACAUUUAUAGCACUUGUCAACAUACAACAAGAGAAAGGAAAAUCACUUAGGACAUUCAUGGAGAGAUUUAGCAAAUUAUCCAUGAACAUCAGGAAUGUCAGCCUAGAAGUGGCCAUCAUUUGGCACGACCCUUAGGUCAAGCCUGUUUGCUGAUAGUCUAUGUAAAAAACCAACAAAAAACUUAGAUGAAUGGAGGCAAUGACUGGCUAAAUUUAUGCAAUUAGAAGAAUUGCGUGACAAUUGCAGUAAUGUUCGAGCGAAAAAUGGAGGAGAUAAAGGAAAAGAGAAGGAUCGUGGUGGUAGGCAAGGGCAUAGUAGAUCGAACAGGUACAAAGAACAUCGAGGUCCUCAAUUUCACACUUAUACCCCUUUAAAUGUCGAUAGGGGAACAAUCAUAGAUGAGACACUAAACGUCAAUCUCAUCUCGACAUUUUGAAAGCUGCAAAGCCCGAAGGAUGCGACACAUCUAAACAAUGUUGAUACCACCACAACUUUGGCCACAUGGUCGAAGAGUUCCAAGCAUUGAAAGAAAAAAAAUGAGGAACUUAUUCAAGCUGGGCACUUCCACAAGUUCGUUUAAGGCGCAAACAGGAGUUCCUAUAAAUCCCCCCAAAGGGAGAAAUAUCAUCGAAGGGAUGGGCGAAGGACUAUGGCUGCUAAGGUACUUAGAGCAAAAUACUAUUGGCCGACCAUUCAGAGCGACUAUGCCGAGUUCAUGCAAAAAUGUUUGAAAUUCCAAGAGUAUGACACAUUAUGUCAAGAGUAUGUCCACUAACGAUUAAUGAAUAUUUAAUAGAAAAACUUUUCUUUGACAUUCUAAAUAAUGAAAAACAAACACUUGACAACUUGUUAUAAUAAUAUAAUAAUAUUUUAAAUUAAAAAAUAAAAUAAAAAUAAUAAAAAUAUUAAUUUAUUAGGAUGUUAAGUGUAUGUUUUCAGUGUAGAUAGUGUCAAUAUAUUAUCUUCCUAUAUAAUAACUACAUAUCUAAUAAAUAUCUAUAUUUUAGGUAUUGAGUAGUACAUAUGUACCUUCCUAAAGAAGGAAUGAAUAAAUACGAGAUUAUAAAGAAGAGUGACAAAAGAGAAUAAGGAGAAAGAAUGAUCUACCUUAGGAUCUCCAUUCUUCUUGCCUUGAACAACACAUUGUGAGGUGGAAGUAAUGUAUCUUUUAAGACUUUAAGUGAAUGAAUCUGAUGGUAUAUAUAGAAGUGUGGUGUCAUAGGUCAAGUCUGAUUAUAAGCCUCUAAGACUCGAUGCAUGAGACUAGGAGGAUAUGUGGUAUCAUAGGUAGGGACGAUUUUGACGGGAUAGGAGUCAAUCUCAGAAAAAUAUCUAAUUGGAGAUUAAAUAUUUAAUAGAGAAAUCUUAUUAAUAUCUCCUCCACAUUCAAGAUAAUUUUAAUGCAAAAUUAAAGCAUUAUAAAGAUAAAAUUGACAUUUAGUGAAUAAAAACUAAAGACAAAACCAAAAAAAAAGGAGAUAAAAGGAAAUAUACAAAUAACAAAAACUUAAUUAAAAAAUUCCUAUAUUUCUUAUUUAAACUAAAUACUCUAGUUAAUAUUCAUAUUUUUUGGUAGAAGAAAUUUAUAGAAUCAUAUAUACAAAACAACUGGUGUUCUUGGCCAUAAGGUACUGUUUGAUGUAACAAUUUGAUCGAGCAAAAAACAGGCGAUUUUAUUUGACUAAGCUGCAAUUCAAAGAAAACAGUUAAGUUUUUAUCCGUGGGAGAAAACAGUUGAGUGGUUUUGUUUGGUAUUUACUUCCAGCUUCUCCAUUCAAUUUAGACUUGCAAUUCGUGAAUUUUAAAAUUGAUUGAUUAUUGAAUUGCAGAAUGAAGUAAAUGAAAUUUUGGUUGGGUAAUUUGUUGAUUGAUGAAAUGAUUGCAAUUGAAGAAAUUGACUGUGCGUGAUGGAAUAAAGCCUAUUUGCUAUCUCAUAGUAAUUGUGUGUGAUUUGCUUUUAAUUUCUAAAACAAUUUCUGGUGGGCUUGCAAUUGAAAUUGAUAAUUCCAAUGGGGCCCACCAUAUUGGUGAAAGCUUCAGACAUGCUAUUUGUUUAUUAAAGAAGCAGCAGAUUUGUGAAUUGGUAUGAAUUUUGGUUCCAAAUUGCAUUCAAGUAGGACCCCCCAUUUUUUAACCCUUCUAUCACAUGCACUACCCUAUUCAAUUACAAUGACAAAUUUAAUUCUUCAAUUCAAUUUCCUCAAAAAUAUUUUUCAAAUUGAGUUCAUUUGACUCAAAUGAUACUUCUGAUUUUUGGUGCAAUAAUUGUGCAAUUGAAGACCAACAUUGUAUAGGUGCAUGAUUGGUUUUUGAUUUUAACUUUUGCCCUAAACCUUACUUUCCUUUAUUGUGAAAAAUCUUUUAAUACAAAACUUAUGUCUAUGCAUAUACUUCUUACCAUACAUUAAAUAACUUAGGUUCUUUAAAAAAAUGUUUAAAACCUUUGGAUACUAAAUUGUGUAAAAGGAAAGAAUUUUUUUUAAAAAAAAGAGAUGUUAAACUUGUGAUUCUUGAUGAGAAACGUAGAAUCUUAACUACAGAAGAGGAGAAAAUAGAAAAAAGAAUUAAAAAAUAGAAAAAAAUCACAAAAUAGUAGAAACAAUUCUACUAUUCCAAAAGUUACAUUAGGGGAUAUUGAGGUCAAAUAGUGUAUCUUAGUAUGAAUUAACAUUAUUAACCUCCCCUAUAAUGUAUUUUGUUUUUAAAAAAAAAGUAUAGUUUAAGUAUUUCCUAUAUGCUGAUGCUGCCCAUAUUUGUUCUAAUGAAUUUUUUCUUGAGCAAAAUUUCCGGAUCAACCUAGUAUAUAACAAGAAAAUAAUUUUCAAAAUUCUUAUUUAACUUAUUCUCUUAUUGUGGAUAGUAAAUCAUGCUACAAUCUGUGUAGUACUUAGUUAGAUCAAAUGUUGAACUUAACUAUCAAUUCUCAUCCUAAAUUUUAUAAACUUCCUUGAAUUUUUAAAGAUGAAAAUAUAAUAGUCAAGCAACAAGUCAAAUAAAAGCUUUUCAAAGGCGAGAAAAAAGUUUUGUGAUUUAGUACCAAUUGAUGCUUGUGAUAUUUUGUUAGAACAACCUUGCAUAUUUUAUCAUAAAAUCAUUUAUGAAGAUCGUACUAAUAAAAUAACUUUCACUCAUAAGAAAAAUAAGUCAUGUAUUGAGUUGCUAACUGAGAGAAAUUCUAAGAAAUAUGGCAAUCACAUAGGACAAAAAAAAUUACUUCUAAAAUCAUGAACUUUUGUCUCUAAUUUGAUAAGAAGUACAUGAAUUUUAGAAGUCAUAAUUUUCUCUAUUAUGUCUUGAAGAACCUUAUUCUUCUUGACCUUUCUGUAUAUCUUUCACUUUCUGUUUGGUGUUCAUUGUAGGUGGGUGUCUGAUCUUGGGGGAAAAACGUUAACCUCAAAUAAUAAUAAGGUUGUUAUCUUGAAACAACGAUGCACAUUUGAGAACAAAUAUUCUUAAGAGGGGGAUGGUGAAAAACCAUCAAGUCACAACAUCCACAAAAUAAGGAAGAUGAAGACCUAGAGUUUUGUUCAAUAACUUAUUUAAACGUUUGAGCCUAAUUGAAAUUUUAUCUAUCUUUUAUAGACCUAAUAAAGAGGAAAAAUCUAGGAUAAUCCGCUAGCUUCUUUCUUGUUCCUUAUUGCGGCUAAAGGUUUGGCGGGAGUGGCUAGGAUGGCAGUUGAGAAGAAUUUGAUUGAUAUCUUGGAGAUUGGAGGGAAAAAAAAGUGAAGGUAAACAUGUUGCAAUAUGCCGACGAUACCAUAUUCUUUUGCAAAAAGAAUAAUAAAAGUGUCUUCAAUAUAAAGUGGCUUUGAAUUGUUUUGAACUUUCUUUUGGCCUUGAGGUGAACUUCUUGAAGAACUGGUGGCUUGGGGGUUGAUCAGAUAACGAUCCAACGUUUUGCAGGAAUUCUCAAUUGUGAAGUGAUGGUAAUUCCUUUUGUAUACCUGGGUAUGUAGGUAGGGGGUGUCAUAAGAGACAGACGUUUUGGGUAGGGGUGGUUGACAAACUGAAGAGUAGAUUAAGCAGGUGGAAAGGUAAGUUCUUGUCAAUGGCAGGGAGGAUCUGUCUGAUUAAGUCAGUACUUUCCUCUAUUCCGUUGUUUUAUUUGUAUUUAUUCAAAAUGCUCUCUUUGGUGGCAAAUGAGAUAGUGAGAAUACAAAGGAUUUUUUUUAUGGGUCUGGGCUUCUUGGAAAAAGGUGUGCGAACUACGCAAGGCCGGUGGUCUUGGUAUCCUUGACUUAAGGGUCUUUAAUUCGGUGUUGCUCAAUAAAUGGAUUUGGCGAUUGGGAUCAGAUAAGGGUGGUUUGUGGAAGGAGAUUCUUGAAUCUAAGUACGGGGGUGGAGAGUUUUGAGAGAGGGAGGGAAAAAUAAUAAGGACUAUCUUUGGUGGAGAGAUUUGAAGGAAGUCUGGAGUUUGGAGGGCUGGGGCCAAAAUUUUGAAGAUGCUAUUAAGUGGAAGUUUGGUACAGGGAAGGAAAUUUUUUUUGGGAAGACAAUUGGGUGGGCAGUGGAGCCCUAAAGAGCAUUUCCCCGAGGUUGUUUUACUUGAGCUUGUCAAAAGCCUCUAAGGUGGUCGAGCUUGGGGUGUGGAAUAGCGGGAUAUGGGAUUGGACAUUCGCUUGGAGAAUGAGUCUUUUUGAAUGGGAAAAGCAAAUGGAGCGUCAGUUUUCCCAGGUAGUCUAAGGUGUGUGUUUUGACUUGGAAAAGGAGGAUAACUGGGUUUGGAAGGAUGGAGAGGCGUUAUCAUAUACGGUUAAAUAUGCUUAUAAUCGUUUAAGGGGGGUGGAGAAGGGGAGAAUGUCACCGUGUUUAAAUAACUUUGGAGGUGUAAAGCUAUGCCUUUUGCACUUGUUACUACAUGGAGGGUGUUGGAAAAUAAGCUAGCCACUAGGGUUAACCUGGAAAAGCGCGGGGUUGCGGUCGAAGCCCUCUGUGUAGUCUUUGUAGGAUGGAGGAGGAGUCAAAUAGCCAUUUGUUCUUCAAGUGCAGCUUUGCUUGGCUAGUGUGCAAACGUUGUUUUGCAUGGCUUGGAGUGCAAUUUGUGUCCCAUAAUGAUCCACUACUAAAUUUCUCUCAGUUUAGGUUGUGUAAUGCGUCUGCUUCGGUAAAUGAGGUAUGGGGAGUGAUAUGGACUACAAUAAGCGAGUUAAGGAAGCAUAAAAAUGGCAUAAUCUUUAAAGGAGGAGUUGUCGAUGGUUUAGAAGUGGUUGCCUUGGUUCAAGUGAAUGCUUGGUCUUUGAUUACGUCCAAGUCUCUCUCUGGAUUCUUCUCUUUUUCUGAUUGGUGUCUCGAACCUCUGGUCUGUAUGAGGAUGAUUUUUUGAUAUAUUAUUGAGUUCAGGUGCUUGUUUUUAGGGGGUUUGAUUUUUUAGUAAAUUCAGGGGUGUUUUUUUAUUCAUAGGAGUGUUUUUUUCGAUAGGAGUGAAGUGAGUCUAUUUUUUUUUGUAUAAGAGUUGGACUAUCCCUGAAGUGGUUCACAUUUAUUCAUUUUUUAUUGUCAAUAAAAAAACUCUAUUUCUCUUCAAUCUAUGAAACUGCUCUUGAGUUUUAAGGAUUCCUCAAUUCUCAUUCAUCAUCCAUCAAAAAAGAAAUCAUAAAGAAGACUACUAGAAGAAUAUUGUUUUCCAUAAAAAUAGAAUUUAAAAAAUGAUAAAAUUAAAUAAUUAAAUAAUUAAGAUUCUAAUUUAUAUGUUUUGUAUAACUUAAUUUUAAUUUUAAUUUCAAAAAUUAUAUCUACUAAACAAAAAUGGAUCUCAACGUGAUAUUUAUAAAUAAUUAAAUAAUUAUGAUUCUAAUUUAUAUAUUUAAUAUAAUUAAAAAAAUUAGAAAAUCUGAUCUUACACUUAUAAUUGUUUUUUAAUGAUGAAAUGCAUUGGAAUCACGUUUAAUAAAUCUGUUCUCUAUCAAUGAUUAAAAGAAUUUAUUAUUGUACUUGCUAAAUUUGUAAUUAUUCAAUAUAAAAUUUGGUUAAUCAGACCAUUUCAUAUGUUCUUUACUUGUACAUAUUCAAGAGAAUAUCAAUUUUAUUAGUUUUUAUUUUACAUAUAUUAUUGAUAAUUUGUUUUAAAUUAUUUUUCUAGUUUAUUUAUUUAUAAUUUUUUAUUUCAAGUAUUUUAUAAUUUCGUGACUGGCAGAAUUUGAUUUUUUUUCUGAAGAACUUUGGUAGUCAGAAAUGUUGACAAUUGACCUAUUGGAGAUAAAAUUGAAAGAGAAAAACUCAGUUAAGAAAAGAUAUAUUAGUUUAUGAAAAAGUGUACAAUUUGCUGAUAGAGAUAUCUCCAAAUUUAUAGCCAAACAUUGUAUAAAAAUUAUUGAAAUGAAUGCAAUUUCUUUUUGACAAAAGUAUUAAUCUAAAAAAAAUUAUAUUCUACACUUGAUAUGCAAUUUGUUAUCUUCUAAUUGGAUAUUAUUCUUGACCAUAUCAUUGCUCCAAUUUUCAUUCACAUAUAUCUUGAACUAUGGUUUAUUUUAUGUCACAUCACAAUGUAUGGUGUAACAUCAUUUUCCAUGGAGAAAAGCUUUUGGUUGAAUGUUCUUUGAAUCAACCAUACAAAAACAAUGUACCUUUCACCCCAAUUUUCCAAUUCACACUCCAAUGCCUUUGCCGACGCAGCUUCUUCCUUUUUCCAAAAUUUCUCAUCAAGUUUAUUCCAUUAUUAUAAUCUUAAAUUUGUACAAUGAAAGCUUCCAAAUUUGAAAAAAAACAUUACCCUGAAAUGAUGGCAGACAACAAGUCAAUAGGUCAUUAAAGGAAAAAGAAGACCAAAAGAAGUUCAAUUUAAUGCAUGGAAGAGUGUUGUAGUUUUUUUAUAUCCAUGUUUGAAGAAAUAAAUGUCUUGGUUGGUUGGUAGAUGCUAUGUAAUUACUUCUUCCAUAAGUGUGCUAUUUUAAAAUUAUUUUUUGAUUUUAUUUUCUACUCACUUCUUUUCUAUAUGUAAUUGUUGUUUAAUUCUGUUUUACUUAAACCAAAAAACAUUUAAUUCGGCUAUUUUCAAUAUAAUUUUAAUUAAGUUGUCUAUUAGUAUUUUCUCUUCAAAUAAUUUUCGUGCACAAUAAAAAUAGAAAUAUGAUUGAAUAAAAGUUGUAAUAUCUUGAAAUUUUAAAAUAAAAGAUAAAAUAAUAAUGUCUAUUUCAAAAUAUAUAAACAUAGAGAAUAUUUAACUGUUUUACAUAUUUGAGGUAAAAAUUAAAAGUGAAAAAUGAAAAGUACUAUAAAUAUUUUAGUAAUAUCAAUAAAAUUAUUUUGUUUUUAUUUUUUAUAAAGAGAAUUAAAGGAGACUUAAAAAAUAGAUGAAGAUCGUAGAAAAAUAGACUUAAUUGUUGCUAUUUGUUCAUGUGAAAAAGUAUUUCAUCCAUUCACUUUCAUAUAGGCUUUUUAAGGAAUCUAUGAACCAAUUUUAGAGUGGUUUAACUUAUAUUUAAAAAUAUAAGUUAAAGCUAAAUUAUUUAGUUAUUCAAAGUUAAAAUUUAUAAUUUUUUUAAUUUUUAUAUAAUUUUUUAAGUUUAUGAAACUUCUUUUUCUUGAAAAGGUUUGGUUAGUUAGGAGGAAUGACUUGUUAAACCUUUCUAUCAUAUUAUAAUUUGAUUUAAAGUAAGUUUCUUUUUUAUAUCUCUAAGACUAUUGUUCUUGCUGUUUGACCUGGUUGUCGGUUGACUUUGGGAACAGGUUGUAAUUCCGUCUACUUCUGCUGGAUUUUGCCCUUUUUCUGGGAUGUUGGAACACGUCUCUGUUUGAAACAGAGGGGACCUAUUGAUUGCACUCUGACGAUCAAGUCAGUACUGGGCUAAGAAAUAAUGAGUAAGUAAGCAAGUAGUUUCAGUCUUAGAAACGGUGUACCUUUACCAGGGAUCUCGAGUCCCUUUUAUAUACUACUUUUAGGUUACUUCAUUGUAACACCCCUUCUCUCACGAGAACAUUAUCUCGAGUGAAAGUAGGUUUGAUGGGGACAAUCUGUUACAAUGUCGCACAAUCUCAGUGCAACAAUCGCACAAAAUUUUCCUCCUUGGAGUGCAUAAUCUUAACAGCAUGGCCGCCAAGGUACCAACUCAUGUACCAGCAUCAUGGGGCCCAUAUGUUACUGUAGGCGCUCUAGGCUUUACGUAUCAUGCAUGCAGCUUAUCCCUGAAAAUCCUAACGCUCUUGGGCCUAGGCAUCUUUAGGGGAUAUUUACUUAUGCUAGACCCAAAUGUAUUAUACACACCACAUGAACUUUCUCGCUGAUCAGGCCUUAUAUAUACGGGUUUCAACACACGCAUUCCUGGGCCCACUUACGUGGCCAUUAACUUGUCCAGACCAUCGAGCGGACCUGCUUCACACAGGUGUCGAUGUCCGAUCACCUGAGCACUAAGCUCGACGCUCUGGUCCUAUACACAAGCCCCCCAGGCUCGAGCUGGAACUUGUUCCAGUGAAGAGGCUAACUAUUCUCCUAUGGCGACCUACGUGUCUUGUGAAUGAGGUGACGUUUCACCAUACUUCCUCACAAGCGCACACAUGGCCAUCAUCAACGGUUGGAAAGCGUUGCCGCUUGCGCUUCCCCUAUACGUUAACCUUUAGAUUUUUGCGCUUCUCUUUGAACACUCUUCUUUGAACACCCUGUUCUCUCCUCUCCAAAUAAGCCUCCUCGCCUCCUUUCAUCAAUCAUCUCAAGGUGCACUUUUUAUCUUGUGACUGAUUUUGGUAUGUCGUUUCAAUGCCUUUAAUAUGCUCAUAACUGCGUUGGGACUGUUUGUAUUUCUCCUAUCUAUGACCGUAAAUACCUCUAUUUUUCUGCUUCCUUGCUUCUUGUAAGAAUUGAUGGCUUAAACAAGAGGGGGGAUGAAUUAUUUUAUGAAAGUUUUUCGCAAAGAGUUGAUUUAGAAUGAAUCUUUAUCAAACAAUCCAGAUAAGAAAUUAAGGAAAGCAAUCAAACAAUCCAACAAAAAUAGUUAUCAGAAUUUUAACCGGUUAAACCUUCGUUUUAAUCGGUUGUUUAUACUAGCAACAAAAAUGAAAUUAUCAAACAGUUGUAGAGAGUUUGAGAGAAAGAGAGAUUUACACAAUAGGUCUAUACUGGUUCACUCAUACUUGAGCUACAUCUAGUUCUCAGAAGAACCUCUGAGUUCCACUAAUAACCAAUACCAAAUUACAACACACACAAAUAGGUAACCUUGCAACCCACAAGAUUCACUCACCCUCUUUGAAAUACCAAACACCUUAAGACAGAACAACCUUUGCCUUUACAGGAUUUCAAACACACACAACAGGUAAAAGAAGUACUAUUACAAGUAUCUAGACAAGGAUAGAAAACACAUGGAUUUGCACAAUACAUGAAACUCCUAUGAUCAGAACUUGUUACCACAACAAAGCAUGAACAACAAUCUUGCACUAUGAAAACCUCCUUUAAAAAACAAAUCUUUUUCUUUGAUCUCAAAUUUGUAUCAAUACUUGUUGUAUUUGAUUGUGUAUUUUGCUUUGAAAGAAGGGCUAUAUUUAUAGCUCUUGAAAUGUAGCCGUUUAAGGCAGAUUUAAUCAGCUGAAUCAGUUAAAACAAGUUUUCAAAAAUUUGUUAUGAAAACACACAUUUAACCGGUUGAAACCACGAUUUAACCGGUUGAAACCACGAUUUAAUCGGUUGAAACCACGAUUUAACCGGUUGAAUGAGUUAAGCAGUUUCAUAACUAAUUCAAAAAGCAGUUUCAAAAACCUCAAGCUAGCUAAGUGACAAACAACUGAUUAUCUCGAUGAUUCAACUGAUGGUUUUCCCUUUGCUUGGAAAAACAUUUUGUUUCUUUUAUAACUGAUUGGUCAAGCUUGUGCAAGGAUUAAGAUUUGAACUUUUACAAAGAUUCUAAACAAUCUAAUCUAAACCCAAACCAAAAGUAGCACAACUUUAGGCUUCAUGUGGAUUUGACACAUCAAAGCUCCCAUGUUCAACACUUCUUUCUUCAAAACACAUGCACUUCUUCCUCUGGGUAUUGCAUUUGUUUUCUUUCUUUGUUUUAGAUUCCCUGUAAGAUGGAUUACAAAACCCUAUACCCCUGGGCUCCUAGUAACCUUUUAGAGAAAACCUCUGAGUUCACCACUCAUGUGAAAAUAGUAUUGUAUAGGAAGAGCGAGCACCCUAAAAAGAAUUUUCUUUUUGGCAAAGAGCACGACAAGUUUGUAAGGUUGUGCCUUGUAGGGUAGAUGAACCUAUUUGCUGUGAUGAGUCAUCGGACCCAGAGGGCCCAUUCUGCUUCAUCUACUCUACUGUUUUCAAAAAUAUUCUUCUUCGCCUUCCCUUUAACAAUUUUAAAAGAGCCCUUCUCACCGAAAUCAACAUCGCCCUAGUCCAGCUACACCCAAAUAGUUGGGCGUUUGUUCGGGGAUUUUCCAUCUUGUGCCACCACUUUGGCCAUCUGCCAUCAGUGGAUGUGUUCCUAUACUUCUUUGAAGCCAAGCGACCAAGUCAGAAGUUGUGGGUGAGUUUCAACAGGGUUGCUGGGAGAGUUUUGUUUGUUGGGUUUAAUAGUGUCAAAGUUCAAGAGGGGGGAUGAAUUGACCUUUUAAAAGCUUCUCGCAAAAACAGUAUUUAACACAGUUUACAGAAAAUAAAUCGAUUUAUAUGGAAAUGAGCAGAUUUAUUUUAGCACUGUUUGUGUGUUUGAAAAGAGUUUAUGCAGCAAGGUUAAUCACAAGAUCUGCAGAUAUAUUUUUCAGAUGCUCACACACUGAUAUUAGAACGAAAAACAGUGAAUCACCAAAACAACAACCUUCAAUUUCAAGCAAGUGAUUAAGGUUCACUUAAUGGCUUGACAGUUUAUUGAGUGAUCUAUUACAAUCAACCUGUUCUAAUGGCUUUUAACAGAUUAUAAGUGUUCUUAUUGAAAUCAACCAGUUUUCCAGAAAUUAAGAACAAUAUGAACCGUGUCCAGACAGAACAGAUUUAUUUUUAAUUGAACCGAUUUAUUUCUUUGCUGUUUUAUCAAUUAUGCAAAAACUUAAUUGCAGAGAUUGAGAGAGAAUGAACACAAGGCAGUUAUACUGGUUCACUCAACUGAGCUACAUCCAGUCUUCACCCAAACCAAGGUGAAAUUCACUAAAUCACAAUACAAACAAACACAAUUCCUACUGUUCUUGAAACCUACAAGAACUUAGGUACUCUUGCUGAAAAAACCUAUUUCAGCUCACACACACUCUUCAAGAAAACCUAUCAAGAAGAGUGUUCAACCAAACUAUUACAGGAAAUGAAAAGUGAAACGACUACACCUGAUUGANNNNNNNNNNNNNNNNNNNNNNNNNNNNNNNNNNNNNNNNNNNNNNNNNNNNNNNNNNNNNNNNNNNNNNNNNNNNNNNNNNNNNNNNNNNNNNNNNNNNAGGCAAGAUUGCUAGAACAGUAGCAACACCUCACACCAAGCUUUUGGAACCAAACCAAGAACAAGCACUUUGUGAUUUUCGAAAUCUUUGAAGAACAAAUGCUAAUUCUUUGUAAACUUUUAAUUCUCUGCUGUAAAACUUGUUUUUACAAAUGUAUGAACGAUGAUUAAACUCAGAAACAAGUUUUCAUUUUAUAGAAAACUAACUUAUAACAGAAUUUUGAAAAACAGUUAAAGCUGUUAUAAAAUGAACAGAUUUAUUUUCAAAAGCAGUUAGAAAAUUUGUUAAGUGAGGAGACUUAGUCAACCAUUCUGGUGCAGAGAUAAAACUGAAAAACGUUUAAGCUAGAUAUGGCACCAGAGACAAAAUGAACCUAUUCAUUUACAGAUGAACAGAUUUAUUUUUCAAAACGAAAACAGAAAAGCNNNNNNNNNNNNNNNNNNNNNNNNNNNNNNNNNNNNNNNNNNNNNNNNNNNNNNNNNNNNNNNNNNNNNNNNNNNNNNNNNNNNNNNNNNNNNNNNNNNNNNNNNNNNNNNNNNNNNNNNNNNNNNNNNNNNNNNNNNNNNNNNNNNNNNNNNNNNNNNNNNNNNNNNNNNNNNNNNNNNNNNNNNNNNNNNNNNNNNNNNNNNNNNNNACAUGGCCAGUGGUUAUGAGGUGAGUUACUCAGCAAAAAGCCCACUCUUAAACAACCUCUAAGCACUACCUAAGACACACUUAAAGCAAAGCAAAAAUACACAUGAAAUGUACAUAAAAGUCUUCAUCAAACACAAUCUUGAAGGGGCAGCAACCAUCUUCAACAAUCUCCCCCUGUUUGAUGGAGACAAAUCCCCAUAGCUCUUGUUGCUUUAAGAACCUGCACUGCACCACAGAUUAAACCAGAAAAACAGAACAUUGCAUAACAUGUAAAAUGGUUUAAAGGUGCAGAAUUUAACUCCCUGUUUUAGCUAGCUUCACCUAGCAUGGUGAGCUAUUUUUCUCCCCCUUUGGAUUCAUCAAACAGCAUGUAAUCCUAGAGAAAAAAACCAGAAGCAUAACCAUAAUAGUCCAAAAGAUAAAGACAAAUUGUUCAUCAUUACAAACUUUUAAACUAAUAAAGAAAGCAUGAAAAACAGAAGACUACUGAUCCUUGUUGUAAAGCUCUGCAAGUUGUGCCUGAACCCUUCAAUCUGAUCAUCAAGGUGUUGAAACCUUGCUUGAGUAGUUUCAAAGUAUGCCCUUUAUUCUGUAGUCAUUACAUCAAGGCGAUACAACACUUGCCUUUCAAACAUAGACAUUGGUUCUCCUCGGUAUUUUGGAGAUUGAUAGGCAACUAUGGCAUUUGCAGCAACUCCCUCAUGCACAGAUUGGGUGGCAGGUGAGUCAUCCUCCAUGGGAAUAGCUUCAUCCUCAUCCUCAUUGUGGAGGUUUGAUGCUUCAUGUUCUGCUUGAGGGUCCUUUCCUUUAAGAACCACCCACUUGUCCUCAAUUUUGUGAAAUCCCAUUUUGGUGAGAGUUGAAUUAUCAAUCUCACUUACAGCUUUGAUAGGGUCGUUUCUCUCAUUUGUAACAUCAACACCAAAGUAAUCAAUCAAUUUGGAAACAAGAAUAGCAUAGGGAAAGCGGUAAUCAGCCAACCUUUUUUAUUUGAGCAUGUGUUCAUUGAUAAUGAAAACCCAAUUUACCUUAAUCUGGUUCAUGAUGCAAUAUAGAAGAAUUAGAUCCUCUUCAUGUAAAACUGCAUGGUUUGUACCUCUUGGGAUAAGUUGCCAUGCUAUGAUGUAGGCAACAAGGCGUGGAGUGAGGUUCAAAUGCCCUGCACGGAACCUGCUUAUACUCUCUGUAGAAUUCCUCAUGCAGCUUUUAUAGUAUUGCAGCUUGUUGAAUUCUNNNNNNNNNNNNNNNNNNNNNNNNNNNNNNNNNNNNNNNNNNNNNNNNNNNNNNNNNNNNNNNNNNNNNNNNNNNNNNNNNNNNNNNNNNNNNNNNNNNNNNNNNNNNNNNNNNNNNNNNNNNNNNNNNNNNNNNNNNNNNNNNNNNNNNNNNNNNNNNNNNNNNNNNNNNNNNNNNNNNNNNNNNNNNNNNNNNNNNNNNNNNNNNNNNNNNNNNNNNNNNNNNNNNNNNNNNNNNNNNNNNNNNNNNNNNNNNNNNNNNNNNNNNNNNNNNNNNNNNNNNNNNNNNNNNNNNNNNNNNNNNNNNNNNNNNNNNNNNNNNNNNNNNNNNNNNNNNNNNNNNNNNNNNNNNNNNNNNNNNNNNNNNNNNNNNNNNNNNNNNNNNNNNNNNNNNNNNNNNNNNNNNNNNNNNNNNNNNNNNNNNNNNNNNNNNNNNNNNNNNNNNNNNNNNNNNNNNNNNNNNNNNNNNNNNNNNNNNNNNNNNNNNNNNNNNNNNNNNNNNNNNNNNNNNNNNNNNNNNNNNNNNNNNNNNNNNNNNNNNNNNNNNNNNNNNNNNNNNNNNNNNNNNNNNNNNNNNNNNNNNNNNNNNNNNNNNNNNNNNNNNNNNNNNNNNNNNNNNNNNNNNNNNNNNNNNNNNNNNNNNNNNNNNNNNNNNNNNNNNNNNNNNNNNNNNNNNNNNNNNNNNNNNNNNNNNNNNNNNNNNNNNNNNNNNNNNNNNNNNNNNNNNNNNNNNNNNNNNNNNNNNNNNNNNNNNNNNNNNNNNNNNNNNNNNNNNNNNNNNNNNNNNNNNNNNNNNNNNNNNNNNNNNNNNNNNNNNNNNNNNNNNNNNNNNNNNNNNNNNNNNNNNNNNNNNNNNNNNNNNNNNNNNNNNNNNNNNNNNNNNNNNNNNNNNNNNNNNNNNNNNNNNNNNNNNNNNNNNNNNNNNNNNNNNNNNNNNNNNNNNNNNNNNNNNNNNNNNNNNNNNNNNNNNNNNNNNNNNNNNNNNNNNNNNNNNNNNNNNNNNNNNNNNNNNNNNNNNNNNNNNNNNNNNNNNNNNNNNNNNNNNNNNNNNNNNNNNNNNAGCAGAGGUAUAUGGUUAAGUAAGAUACCAAAAUCAUUCAAUUGAUGUCUUAGCCAUAUAGUUUGAACCAUCAACUCCCUGCUGCAAUGUAUUCUGCUUCAGCAGUGGAGAGAGCUACACAAGCCUGCUUUUUGCAUUGCCAUGAGAUCAAGGUUGAUCCAAGCAAAUGACAGGUUCCACUUGUGCUCUUCCUAUCAAUAUUGCACCCUGCAAAAUAUGAAUCAGAAUAUCCAGUUAAACUUAAUGAAAUAUUACCUGGAUACCACAAGCCAACUUCUUUAGUUCCUUGCAAAUACUUCAAAAUCCUUUUGGCAGCAUUGUAGUGUGAUUCUUUAGGAGCAGAUUGAAACCUUGCACACAUGCACACUGCAAACAUUAUGUCUGGCCUGCUGGCAGUGAGAUACAGUAGUGAUCCUAUGAGUCCUCUGUAUUUGGUUUCAUCAACAGAAAUUCCAGCUUCAUCAUGAUCCAAAUGACAGCUUGUUGAGAAGGGUGUGCUGAUUGGUUUACACUUGUCCAUUUCAAAUUUCUUCAGCAGAUCCUUGCAAUAGUUAGCUUGACUUAAGAAAAUGCCAUCCUUGAGUUGUUUGACCUGCAAGCCUAGAAAAUAGUUCAACUCACCCAUCAUUGACAUUUCAAACUCACUCUUCAUGACUUUCAUGAAAGCUUCACACAAUUCUCCAUUGUUUGAUCCAAAAAUGAUGUCAUCCACAUAUACUUGUACUAGAAUUGUGUCAUCUCCUUUCUUCUUGAUGAACAAGGUCUUAUCUGAUGUGCCUCUGUCAUAACCUUGAGAGAUGAGAAAAUCACUUAGCCUCUCAUACCAUUGCCUAGGAGCUUGCUUGAGUCCAUAGAGAGCCUUUUUGAGUUUGAACACAUAUUCUGGAUGUUGAUGGUCUUCAAAACCUGGUGGUUGUGAAACAAAUACCUCUUCAUUUAUAUAACCAUUUAGAAAGGCACUCUUCACAUCCAUUUGAAACAGCUUGAACCCUUUGAUGCAGGAGAAGGCAAGCAGCAAUCUAACAGCUUCUAACCGAGCCACUGGUGCAUACGUCUCAUCAUAGUCUAUCCCUUCUUCUUGAUUGUACCCUUUAGCUACUAGCCUAGCCUUGUUUCUGGUGAUCACUCCAUGCUCAUCCAUCUUGUUUCUAAAUACCCAUUUUGUCCCAAUUAUAUUCAUCUCAGGUAUUCUAGGAACAAGAGUCCAGACCUCAUUAAGAGCAAAUUGAUUCAGUUCCUCUUGCAUGGCUAAAAUCCAGUUGCUGUCCUUGAGAGCUUCAUUCAGAUUCUUGGGUUCAGCUUGAGAUACAAAGGCCAUUGCUUCACAGAAAUUGUUCAAGAAUUUUCUAGUUGAUACUCCUUUCUCAAUGUUCCCAAUGACAUUAUCAAGGGUUAAGUCUCUUGGGGUUUUCCACUCUUUUGGCAAACCUGCAGCUGCAGUAGAUUCUUGUAUAGCAUGUGUAUCAGCAGUAUCAAAAUGAAUCGAUUCAUUUUGAUUUAAAACAGAUUUAAAUUCAUUACAGUCAAGAUCAUCAGUAGCAGUUUUAGAUAUGCUAUGAUCAGUUUCAUCAAAAACAACAUGCAUUGAUUCUUCUACUAUAAGCAACCUUUUAUUGAAGACUCUAUAUGCAUGACCAUUCAAAGCAUAACCAAUGUGCACACCUUCAUCAGAUUUAGCAUCAAACUUACCAAGAUUUUCUUUGCCAUUAUUCAAUACAAAGCAUUUACACCCAAAUACCCUAAGGUGGCUCACACUAGGUUUUCUGCCCUUAUACAAUUCAUAUGGGUUUUCUUAAGAAUAGGUCUUAUUAGGGUUCUAUUUAACACAUAAGCUGCAGUAUAAACUGCAUCAGCCCAAAAAUACUUAGGAAGCUUAGAUUCAUUUAACAUAGUUCUAGCUAGUUCCUCUAUUGAUCUAUUUUUCCUUUCAACUACACCAUUUUGUUGGGGUGUCCUAGGGGCUGAAAAGGUAUGUGCUAUCCCAUGCUUCUCACAGAACCUCUCAAAUCUAGCAUUCUGAAACUCUCCCCCAUGAUCACUUCAAAUUGAUUUUAUGCAGCAACCAUUUUCAUUUUGCAGAAUCUUUGCUAAUUUCUUAAAGGCAGUGUAAACAUCAUGUUUAUAGUCCAUGUAAAUCUAGAGUAGUCAUCCACAACAACUAAAGCAUACAGAUUUCCAGCCAAGCUAGCAACUCUAGAUGGACCAAAUAAGUCCAUAUGUAACACAUCCAAUGGAUUUUUUGUAGAAACAAUAUCCUUUAACUUGAAAGAGGAUUUGAUUUGUUUACCUUUCACACAAGCAUCACAAAGCCUGUUGUCCUGAAAUUUAAUGUUAGGUAAACCAGAAACUAAAUCUUUAGAUUUCAAUUUAUUCAAGUGAUUUGUGUGUACGUGAGCUAACCUCCUGUGCCACAGCAAAGACUCAUCACUUCUGGACAGCAAAUACUCAUUUGAAGGGUUAGUUUCCAUGAUAUUCAGCAGAUAUAUGUUAUUCACUCUCUUACCAGUAAAUAGUACCUUACUAGAUGAAUUACUUGAGAUUGUGCAGCCUUUUGACUCAAAGUUCACCUUGUAUCCUUUGUCACAAAGCUGACUUAUGCUGAGAAGACUAUGCUUGAGUCCUUCUACAUACAGCACAUUCUCAAUGGUUGUUGAGUUCCCUGUUCCAACAGUGCCUCUGCCCAAAAUCUUCCCUCGGUUAUUAUCACCAUAGGUUACAUGUCCUUCUGCUUUGAGCUUCAAGCUAGUAAAUUUUGUAAGAUCUCCAGUCAUAUGCUUGGAGCAACCACUAUCCAAGUACCAUUGAUUCUUCUUAUUGUUCAUAUGCUAAACAAAGUAAAAAUGAUACAAAUGGUACCCUUUUCAGUAUAGGGUCUAGCACAGAUUAAAACCUUCUCUUUGGUAGCCAUUUUGCUAAGUUCUUAGGAACAAGAUGCUUUCUAGCAAUGCAAGACCUAGAGGUAUAACCAGAUUUCAUGCAGUAAAAACAGGUUACAUGAGAUGCCUUUUUGCCACUGUUAAAAGCUGAAAAAACUGAUUUUGCUAGAACAAAAAAACUUGAAAGCUUUUUGACAUUGGUUACAUUUCCAGGGGUAUAACCAAGACCAUUCUUAUUGAAAACAACAUUCUGUGAGCCAAGAAGAGACUCAAGGUUUUCUCUUCCCUUGGUGAAAUUGGAAAGGGUUUUCAGCAAAUACUCCACUUGUUUUUCUAAUUUUUUGCAGUUUUCACAGGNNNNNNNNNNNNNNNNNNNNNNNNNNNNNNNNNNNNNNNNNNNNNNNNNNNNNNNNNNNNNNNNNNNNNNNNNNNNNNNNNNNNNNNNNNNNNNNNNNNNUUAAUUGAGGCAUGCAAGCAUGUUAGUUCAAGGCUUACCAAAUCUGUUUUGGCUUUAUGCAAUUCUUCCUCAAGUGUUUUUACUUUAGGUGCAAGCACAUUAUUUACCUUUUGCAGCUUAUUGCAUAUUACAGCUAGCCUAUUUGCUUCAUCAUGUGUUUCCUUGAAAGCAGCAAGCAAAUGAUCAUAGUUAUCAGAAUCCACAGAGAAAUCACUUACUGAAUCAGAGAUUGACUCCUCAUCCUUCAUCAUGAAGCACAGAUUGUUUUCCUCAUUCUCAGUUGAAGAGCUGCUGGUUGAAGAUACUUCAUUUUCUUCCCAUGAGAUGUAGGCUCUUCUUCCCUUGUUCCUUUCAAUUCUCUUGCUGGCAGAUUUUUCCUUUGCUUGAUUAUCUGGACAAUCUGUUUUGAUGUGCCCUGUUUUGCCACAGCCAAAGCAAGUAUAUUUAGAGGAAUUUGAAUCAUUGGGUUUAGGAUACCUUAUUUUCUGUUGGUUCCUAUCUCUGNNNNNNNNNNNNNNNNNNNNNNNNNNNNNNNNNNNNNNNNNNNNNNNNNNNNNNNNNNNNNNNNNNNNNNNNNNNNNNNNNNNNNNNNNNNNNNNNNNNNUGAUCUCACUCUGUUCAGUUGCUUUCAGUGCAAGACCUUUGGGUUUUCUCUCUGUUGUUUCCUGUUCUUUGAGUCUCUUGAGCUCUAGCUCAUGCUCCAUUAGCUUUCCAAAAAGUGCAGCAGUUCCCAGUUUUGACAAAUCACGACUUUCAGAUAUGGCAGUCACCUUUGGUUGCCAGCUUCUGUCGAGGCACUUCAAUAUCUUUAUGUUGAGUUCCUCUCUGUCAAAUUCUUUUCCCAAACCAUUGAGGUGAUUCACAAUAUGGGUGAACCUUUUCUGCACAUCAGCAAUGCUCUCCUCGGGUUGCAUUCUAAACAGUUCAUAUUCUUGGAUGAGAGAAUGUUUUCUUGACCUCUUCACAUCUUCAGUACCCUCAUGAGUGACUUCUAAGACUUCCCACAUCUCCUUAGCUGACUUACAUUGGGAUAUCCUGAAGAACUCAUCCAUUGUCAAUGCAGAGGUUAUGAUGUUCUUGGCCACAAGAUCAUGUUGAGCCUUCCUCCUUUCGAUCUCAUUCCAUUCAGAUCUUGGCUUUACCACUUCUUCAUCCUUGACAACCUGCAUUGGCACAUAAGCUCCAUGGACCACAACUUCCCAAAUUAAUGCAUCAAUAGAUUCCAUGAAAAUUCUCAUUCUAACUUUCCAAAAUGCAUAAUUCAUUCCAUUGAACAUAGGUCGUCUAUUAACAGCAGAUCCUUCAGCAAAAAGCACAUUAAACUCAUACAUUAUUACAAAAAAACUUGAUUAAAAUACAAGUCUUAGCUCUUGAUACCAAUUGUUGGGUUUAAUAGUGUCAAAGUUCAAGAAGGGGGGUGAAUUGACCUUUUAAAAGCUUCUCGCAAAAACAAUAUUUAACACAGUUUACAGAAAAUAAAUCGAUUUAUAUGGAAAUGAACAGAUUUAUUUUAGCACUGUUUGUGUGUUUGAAAAGAGUUUAUGCAGCAAGGUUAAUCACAAGAUCUGCAGAUAUAUUUUCCAGAUGCUCACACACUGAUAUUAGAACGAAAAACAGUGAAUCACCAAAACAACAACCUUCAAUUUCAAGCAAGUGUUUAAGGUUCACUUAAUGGCUUGACAGUUUAUUGAGUGAUUUAUUACAAUCAACCUGUUCUAAUGGCUUUUAACAGAUUAUAAGUGUUCUUAUUGAAAUCAACCAGUUUUCCAGAAAUUAAGAACAAUAUGAACCGUGCCCAGACAGAACAGAUUUAUUUUCAAUUGAACAGAUUUAUUUCUUUGCUGUUUUAUCAAUUAUGCAGAAACGAAAUUGCAGAGAGUGAGAGAGAAUGAACACAAGCAAUUAUACUGGUUCACUCAACUGAGCUACAUCCAGUCUUCACCAACAACAGGUGGAAAUCACUAACACACAGUACAAACAAACACAAUUCCCACUGUUCUUGAAACCUACAAGAACUUAGGUACUCUUGCUGAAAAAACCUAUUUCAGCUCACACACACUCUUCAAGAAAACCUAUCAAGAAGAGUGUUCAACCAAACUAUUACAGGAAAUGAAAAGUGAAACGACUACACCUGAUUGAGGAUACAAAGAUCUGCCUUAAACCGGUAGGCAAGAUUGCUAGAACAGUAGCAGCACCUCACACCAAGCUUUUGGAACCAAACCAAGAACAAGCACUUUGUGAUUUUUCGAAAUCUUUGAAGAACAAAUGCUAAUUCUUUGUAAACUUUUAAUUCUCUGCUGUAAAACUUGUUUUUACAAAUGUAUGAACGAUGAUUAAACUCAGAAACAAGUUUUCAUUUUAUAGAAAACCAACUUAUAACAGAAUUUUGAAAAACAGUUAAAGCUGUUAUAAAAUGAACAGAUUGAAAAUAAAAUGAACAGAUUUAUUUUCAAAAACAGUUAGAAAAUUUGUUAAGUGAGGAGACUUAGUCAACCAUGCUGGUGCAGAGAUAAAACUGAAAAACGUUUAAGCUAGAUAUGGCACCAGAGACAAAAUGAAUCUAUUCAUUUUACAGAUGAACAGAUUUAUUUUUCAAAACGAAAACAGAAAAGCUUAACUAUUUAACCACAGUCGUUUUGAAAGGUAGAAAACUUAGUCAAAAUACAUGAUGCACAAAAUCUAAUUUUCACAAGACUUAGGCAAGGCAUCAGUUUAAAAAUGAAUCUGUUUAUUUAGAAAAGAACAGAUUUAUUUUUAUGCAGUAAACCUGUUUUUUGUAAAACAUGUGAAAAAUAGUUUAAGAAACCUUAUGCUUGUUCUUAUCACAUGGCCAGUGGUUAUGAGGUGAGUUACUCAGCAAAAAGUCCACUCUUAAACAACCUCUAAGCACUACCUAAGACACACUUAAAGCAAAGCAAAAAUACACAUGAAAUGUACAUAAAAGUCUUCAUGAAACACAAUCUUGAAGGGGCAACAACCAUCUUCAACAUUGUUGACCCUCUUCCAGCAAUCAUACAAAGGCUUCAAGGGUAUAUUUUUCAAAAUCCGCUGCAAUGAUAAUGAUCCAAGUCUUCUGGACAGGUUCCCUCUGUACUGGACUAAGGAACCCAAAUUCCAAAAACCCAGAUACCUUGAAGACCUACCCCAACGAGAACGAGAGGUGUGUCUCUUCCUCUCCAACCCUAAGGUAGUGUUUAGCACUGCCGAAUUGAUAAAGAACGAGUACAGCCCUACAGGCUUUAAGGCAUACAUUGGUAUCCCCCUUCCCUUUACUCCUGCUAGCAAUGCCUUGCAUGUGUGUGUUUUCUGAACUCUUCUUUGUUUUCAUUCUCAUGCAGACAGUAUGUUGGACGCUCAAAAAAGAAAGAACUUAACUGCACUAGCCAAACAAAAGAAGACCACCCAAGCCCUUUCUGCCAAGGAUCAAAAAUUGAAGGCAGUGGCUGAAGUCGCCCCUUCUGAGGAUGAAGAAACUUGUUCUUGACUCCUCUUCAAGAGGAAGUGAACAGAUGUUGCUGCAAUUUCUGUCCACUCUGCCUCAAACGACUGAGCUCCCUUCUACCGGGACUUUCCACCCAGCCCUUCCCCUCCUCGUGACAUUGCGAUGUGGAAGGGUAGAGGAGAAAGUGCCUCAAAGGGAGAUCAGUGGGACCCCUUCCCAGACCCAACUUCCUUCCUUCACAAAAUGUUGCUCUCCUAAAAAAUUAAAGGAAGAUUGAAAAACAUGGAGGAGGGUCCACUGAUGGAGCACGCCACAAGGCAACUGGGGGAAACCCUAGUUGCGAACUAUCUUCUCCUUUCCAAGCCGUGGAAAGCAAAGGAGCUGGCCAAAGAAGAAGCCGUCCAAGCUGUAGAGCUCAAACGACAAGUCUUCAAACUCACACUGGAGGUGGAGGAGCUCUGAAAAGUUAACCAAGAGACCAAUGCCCUCCUGUUUGGGAAGUCCCAAGAGGCCUUGGGGCUAUAUGCAAGAAACAAUGAUCUCCGCACUGAGGUGGAGAAGCUGAAGGGAGAGCUGGCUGAGAGGGACGAUGAGGUGGCCAGGCAAAAGAAGGAGAUGGCGCAGAAGGAUGAGCUCCUAUAGAAAACCAAAGAAGAGCUGAUGAGCAAUGCCCCUGACUCCUAGGGGGCAGACUUUGAGGAUGUUGUUGCCCAGGUCACCUGCGUCCACCCUGAGCUGGACCUCUCCCAAAUAGGAUUAGGUAAAGUUAUCGUAGAUGGGCAACUGGUAGAUGAGGAAUAGCCGUGGGGGACUCCCCCUCUAUUGCCUUCCUUUUGUAAUCUAAUGAACAGUUGACAAUUCUGAUAUAUGUAUAUGUGUGUUUUCUUUUCCUGACUUCGACUAACUUAGUAACAAUGCAUGUCUUGAAUGAACACAACUUUCAUAACUUUAAUAACUAACUGAACGCCAAUGAUGGUCCAUACUUAAGUAGCGUGGUCUUCACAAUUAACAAUGGUAGACUUAUGCUUCGGGGUACCUGAGCUCAGAGCCUCCCUGGUCAACAGGUCCUCUUGCACAAAUUGCUUUGCUUUAUUUGUACAUUCUCCCUAAAGGUUGAUUUCACUGUGGUUCACUAUGAACCUUACUACUCCCACUCUUGGAAUCUUACCAAGGAGAGACUUCGCUGAGGUUCACUAUGAACCUUACUGCUCCCACUCUUGGAAUCUUACCAAGGGGAGACUUCGCUAAGGUUCACUAAGAACCUUACUACUCCCACUCUUGGAAUCUUACCAAGUGCAGACUUCACUGAGGUUCACUAUGAACCUUACUGCUCCCACUCUUGGAAUCUUACCAAGGGGAGACUUCGCUGAGGUUCACUAUGAACCUUACUACUCCCACUCUUGGAAUCUUACCAAGGGGAGACUUCGCUGAGGUUCGCUAUGAACCUUACUGCUCCCACUCUUGGAAUCUUACCAAGGGUAUAUUUCAAUGAGGUUCGCUAUGAACCUUACUGUUUCCACUCUUGGAAUCUUACCAAGGGGACAUUUCACUAUUAACACGAGAUACUGUAAGCAUAGUUUUCAAAUAACUUUUUCUUGGGCGACCUCAUUAAAAAACCCUGAUAAGGGAAAAAGAGUGUCCCCUUAAACGUUUGUAUUGCAUACAAUAGCAUAAUUAAUUGAAAUAAAAUUUAAGAUUGGCCCCAUUCCAUGUUCGGGGAAUAAUCUCGCCAUCCAAGGUCUCGAGUCUAUACGCUCCGUUCCCGAGCACCUCUAUCACGCGGAAUGGGCCAGUCCACUUAGGGCAUAACUUGUUCUCCAAUUGAUAGGGAUGAGCCUUUCGCAUUACCAAGUCGACGACCUGGAACUGCUGAGAUUUCAGCUUGGACUUCUGCUUAUAUUCCACCUUCUCUUUAAGGCUUCGGCCUUGAUGUGUGCUUCCUCUCUGACCUUGUCGAGAAGAUCUAAGUUUACCCUCAUUUCCUCAUUAGACUCCUUGGCCACGAAGUUCUGGAAUCGUAGUGAACUUUUCUGGAUCUCGAUGGGGAUCAUGGCAUCCGACCCAUACAACAGGCUAAAAGGGGUCUCCUUGGUGGUGGAUUGGGGAGUGGUGUGGUAGGCCCACAUAAUUCUAGAAACUUCAUCUGCCCAAAUUACCUUGGCUUUUUUCAGUCUCCUCUUUAGGCCUCUGAGCAGGACUCGGUUAGCAGAUUCGACUUGCCCAUUCGUCUAGGAGUGUUCUACCGAGGCGAACACCUGCUUGAUGUUGAGCUCUGUGCAUAGUUUUCCUAGCUAAUGACUUGCAAAUUGGGUGCCAUUGUCAGACACUAAACGCUUUGGGAUUCCAAAACGGAAAACUAUGUUCUUCCACACAAAGUGUUGAACCUUGUGGGCUGUGAUAUGUGCGACAGGCUCAACUUCUAUCCACUUGGUGAAGUACUCGAUGGCUAUCACCAGGUACUUCAUCUGGCAAACUGCUAAAGGAAACGGACCCAGGAUGUCAAUCCCCCAUGUGUGGAAAGGCCAUGGGCUAUGGAUCGAUCGCAACUCCUCUGGGGCGCAUGAUGUUAGUCGGCGUGCUGUUGGCACUGUUUGCACCGCUGUGCGUACCUCGUGCAGUGCUCCCUCAUGUUCGGCCAGUAAUACCCUGCUCGAACAACCUUUGAUGAGAGAGCUUGUCCAUCGAUGUGACUCCCACAAAUACCUUCAUGGAGCUCAUAUUCAGCUUGGUUGUUGCUAGCUUUGAAAGCAAAACGUAGGGCCUGCUCGAUCAGGAACCCGUUUGGUCCCUCUAAGAUGAUACCAGCCCCACUACCUUGCUGGUUAGAGGACCCGUCCACAGACCUGGAAAUGUCCACUUUCUUGGUGUGUGGCUGCCGAGGAGAGUUCUACCAGGAAGUCAGCAUAAACUUGACCCUUGAUAGUGUUAGAAUAUAUGGCUUAAACGAGAGCGGGGGGGUGAAUUGUUUAAGAGAGGUUUUUGAAAACUUUUCAAUGUUUAACAAAUUCUUUGUGUGAACCCAGAACAGAAAUCAAGUUAGCCAAGAAUAUACGCACUAAAAACAGCAAAGCAACAGAAAAACAAUCAGUUGUUUCUUCGAAACAAUUGGUUGUUUAUACCAGAAAAGCUUAAAACAGAAUUUAAAUGAGUAUAGGGUAAGAGAGAGAUACACCAACAAUUUAUGCUGGUUUACUCUUAAGCCAAGAGCUACAUCCAGUCCCCAAAAAACCACUGGGUAACAACUAAGUAAUCAAACCAGAUUACAACACACAAACCACCAAAGUAGUGACCUUGAACCCUUCAAGAAACACACUCCCUUUGGCAAAAUACACCAAGAGUAUUGAUCUUGACCACCUCAAGAGCACACAACACUCCUUGGCAACACAACACCAAAAAUACAGUAGGUUGAGAAGGGAUUACACUUGUUUACAGUACAAACUGAAAUCAAUACAAUUGCAAUCCUAUUCCGUUCUCUUUGAAAACCCAAAGCUUGAUGUGAAUGUUCAAAUCUUGAAAUCAACUUUGUCACAACUGAAAAAAUCAAAUUUGUUUCUCUUUCUUGUUUGAAAACAUAAACAAACCAUUUAUAUUUUCCAAAGAUUAGUCAAAGCAAUUAAUGAAGGAGCAUAUUCAGUUGGAAAUCAUUUAAACCACAUUCAACAACCAAAACAAAAUUCUGUUAGGAUUUUCAAAGAGACAAUCGGUUGAAACCACGAAACAACCGAUUGUUUGGUUUGGCAGUUAAGUCAACCAAACUAAAACAAUUUUCAACCUUUUCAAAAACUCCUAAGAGUAAAACAACCGGUUGAUUCGACAAAACAACAUGUUGUUUUUCACUUAGUUGGAAAAACACUUUAUUUUCUAAAAGAUUUUAAUUCACAUCAGUUUUAGAUUCAACAAAGGAGUGGAUCACAUUCUAUUCUACCCAGAUCCCUCCCCAAACACAGCAGCAACACAAGCCUUGCAUCAAACACAUAGGAUUUGGAUUCUUCAAAGCACUUGAUCAUUCUUGAUCAACAAUCUUCUCCUAUUUGAUGAAGACAAAUACCUGGUCGCUUGUGUUGAUCUUGAUUGAAUAUGAAAUUGUACCUGCAAAACAAAAAUUAUGCAAUCCAGAGCAUCUCUCAUAGUAGGUUAUGAUCAUACAUCAACUAGUUUUUCUGCAUAAACACAAGUGUAGGAAAACCAGCCAAAAACAAAGCAAAAACAGUUUCAUACAAACCAAUUAUGUAGCAGAAAUUAAAAGCAGAAUAGUAGCAGAGUUAUAACAGUUUGUAAGACAACACAAACACCAUAUUCUCCCCCUAUUUGUCUUCACAAAUAGACUUUAGGAGGAGAUUAAACAGAAUAGUUCAACAUAAAGCAAUACAAAGAUAGAAAGAACAACAAAGCCUUGACAUUCAAGCUUAAACAAUCGGUUGUUUCGAGAAAUCAACCGGUUGUUUUGCUUCAGUCUUCUUUUCCAUACUGCAACUCGAAAAUCUAAUUCUGAACAACUUCAAUAUGUUCAUCAAGCAUUUGAAACCAUGUAUCCAUGCUUUGAAAUCUAUUGUCAAAGUUAUGAAAGUUUGAAACAAAAAGAUCAUGAAGAUUUCUUUGAUUUUCCGCAAAGCCAUCUAGCCUAUUCACCAUGUAGCUCUCAAAGGAAGACAUUGAAGGAGUCCUAUCUCCUUGAUGUCCAACACUUGUCCCAGCACCAUAAUUAGUAACAGGUUGUUCUGUAUCUGGAAAAUCCAUAUCAGCACCUUCAACAUCUUCUUGAUCUUCUUCACCAUGUUCAGCAUGAAAGCGACUUGAGGAACCACCUUGUCCACCAUCCUUACUCACCCAUUUUCCAUUGAUCUUGGUAAAACCCAUUUUGCUUAAUGAUCCAUUGUUCACUUCAAAUGUUGACUUCACCUACUCAGAUGUUUAAACCUCAAGAUUCACUUCAAAAUAAUGUAAGAAUUUAGAAAUCAAGAUAGCAUAAGGGUAAUGAUAAUCACUUAACCUCAUAGACUUUUGCAUAUGCUCUUUGAUGAUAUGUAUCCAAUUAAUCUUGAUUUUGUUCAUUAUGCAGUAGAUGUAGACAAGAUCUUCCUCAGUUAGAACAGAAUGGUUGAUUCCUCUUGGUGUUAGAAUCCAAGUGACAAAGAGAGCCAACAAUCUUUCAUUUAAUUUCAGCCCUCCAAUCGAACAAGUUCUUACUUGUGCAUGAGGAUUCUUCAAACAACUUUUGUAAUAUUAAAUCUUGUUGAAGUCUUCCACCACACCAAUGUUUCCUUUGUUGAUUCUCAACCCAACAUACUUUAGACUAGCCAGAGCAACCCACACCUCAUGAGUGAUCUCCAUAUCCACACCCUUGACAUGAGAAACAAGAUUGUUACCUUCAAAUUUCACGUUGGUGUAGAAAAGCCGAAUAAGAUCUGGAUAGAUGUUUCCUUUCAUCUCCAAGAACCUCUUCAAAAGUUGUUAUUUGAGAAGCCUCCUAACAUCAUCCAGCUUUUGACUCUUCAACCAGCCAAAAGAGACAACUUUUGGGUUAUUUAUCACUUUUCUACUUGUUUCAAAGCGAUAUCUCUCAAUCAAUUCAUUGUCUCCUGAAAACCAGCCCUCAAGACGUCCUCCUGACCUCACAACCCUUAUUUUAAUCCUUUUUUAUGUAGGAGGAGUGGAAUCCAUGAAAGCAGAAUGAGAAAAGGCACACACACAAAGGAGAGUAUGAGAUGCAGUAAGAGAUGAGCCAAUGGGUUAUUUUUGUGAAGGAAAACAGUUGUAGAGGGUUUUAUAGCAAAACAAAUUCCCUCUUUGAUCCUUUGGUUGAAGUGGGUUUUAGUCUUCAAGGUAAAAAUUUGUUCCAACUUUUGCACAGAACAAUGUCAGCACAGAGCAGAAAAACACAUGGUCAGGACAUGUGACUUUGACUAAACAUAAAAGGCACUUGAAUUUCCAAGAAAUGGAAUAUAUUCCUUUAUGACAAGAAGUAACUUCCUUCAGAACCAAAUCAGGCUUUCAUGACUGCUUUAUUGACUUAAAGACUCUUUAAGAUUUAAAUUUGCAAAAGAUAGAAUGCAUAAAGAAAUUAAAUCCAUUUAUGCAGUGCCGUCAGAGAAGAAAUAAUCGGCUGUUUCGAGAAAACAAUAUGUUGUUUUUCUGCAACAGCAACAAUGUAUAAAUUUUAAGCAGAAACUGAGAAGAGUUUAAAACAAAUGCAAUUGCUCAUAUGUAGAUGAAGAAUUUAAUAUGAAUUUAUAAUUGAAAAGCAGAGACAGGGAAGGUCUUAUCCUUUUGUUAUGAAGUUCCUUCAAUGAGUCAUUGUUUGUGAUCAAGAAUGUUUCUUUUGGCUUUCAAGACAUCUUGGACUGGUACAUACCCUUAGUUCAGUUCCAAACACACUUCUUUUCUUCCAAAAGCUUGAUCAGAUAACUCAAGACUUCAUGCUUCUUUUAGUAUCCCUGAUCAUAAUGAAUUCAAGCAACAAGAUUUGGUCCCCUUACAAAUGUGGGUCCUUUUGAUUCAUCUUUAUCAUUUGAAACCUCACACCCUUUGGGAAUCCAUUUCAAAAUACCUUUAGGAACAUAAUAUUUCCUAAUUUUACAGAAUCUAACUGAGUGGCCUCUCUUCAUGCAGUAAAAGCAUGUAACAACUGGUUGUUUAAAUCUUUCAAUCGGUUGUUUUUCUGGCAGCUUUGAAAAAGGCUUUGAAAUCCCAUUUUUCUUGUUUUGAAUAUAAAACCCCUAACCAGAUUUUCCAAAAACACAUUUUUGGGAUGUCAAGACAGUUUCAAAGUUGGAUUUACCCUUUGAAAGUUUAUCCACAAUUCUUACAAGAUAGUGGAUCUUACUCUCAAGAGUAUUACAAUUUUUACAAGUCUUGGAGUCACUCAAGUGAGAAGAAUUUUUGCAAUGCAUUUCAAGUUUUUCAAAAUCAAUUUUUGACUUUUCCAAUUCUUCUUCAAGAUUCUUGACUCUAUUUUCAAGCUAGUUAUUCAACCCUUUCAAUCGGUUGUUUGAGAAAGGCAAUCGGUUAGCUUCUUCAUGAGUUUCUUUAAAAGCUUGAAGUAAUUGGCUAUAAUUUUCAGCACUUAAGGAAGCACAAGAACUUACACUGCUUGAGCUACUUGAAUCAUUAUCUCCUUCUGCCAUUAAAUAUAGAUUGGCUUUUUCAUCUUCACUUGAUGAGGAGCUUGAUGAAGAGACUUCAUUUACAUCCCAAGCAAUAUAUGCUCUUUUUGAUUUCCCUUCCUUUUCCUUAUUGCUUGACUUCUUUUCCUUGCCUUCUUUAUUUGGGCAAUCAACUUUUAUAUGCCCUUGUUCUCCACAACCAAAACAAGUAUAAUUGUUAGAAUUGAAAUCACUAGUUUUCUUGUUUCCAUACCUUUCUUUGUUGGAUUCUUUGUUGCGAUUUCUCUUCAAGAAUUUGCUGAACUUUUUGGAUGACAAGCUAAGGUUUUCUUCCUCACUUUCAUCACUUGAAUCUUCCUUAUUCUUGUGCUUGACAGCUUUCAAGGCAAUGUUCCUUACAUGCUUGUCCUUACUUUCUUGAACAUUGAGUCUAUUCAUCUCCAACUCAUGUUCUCUAAGCUUUCCAAACAAGGAGGCCGUAGUCAAGGAUGCCAAGUCCUUUGAAUCAGAAAUUGUCGUGACUUUAGCUUCCCAAGAUCUAUCAAGACACUUGAGAAUCUUGAUGUUUAGCUCCUCUUUGUCAAAGGUUUUUCUAAGACUCAUUAGAUGGUUGAUGAUGUGAGUGAAUCUCUUUUGUACUUCAGCAAUUGAUUCUCCCUUGAGCAUUCUAAACAUCCCAUACUCUUGUAUUAGAGUAUGUUUCCUAGCUCUCUUCACAUAGUUUGUUCCUUCAUGGGUGACUUCUAGAGUAUCCCACAUUUCCUUAACCGAUGCACAUUGUGAGAUCCUGAAAAAUUGAUCAGAAUUCAAAGCAGAGGUUAUGAUAUUCUUGGCAAUACAAUCAAACUUGGCCUUUUUAUUUUCAGCAUCAGUCCAUUGGGACCAAGGUUUUUCAAUAGAAGAUCCAUCCUCUUCAAAUUUUGGAAUAAAAUGGCCAUUUUCAAUUGCAUAUCAAAUUCCUUUAUCAAGAGAUUCAACAAAGAUUUUCAUUCUAACUUUCCAAAACUGAUAAUUUAAACCACAAAACAAAGGUGGCCUGUUAAUUGAGGCACCCUCCCCAAAAGGUAGUUUUUCAGCCAUAGAAAAAAAAAAUUAGGAUCAAACUUGAAUAUAUUUCAAGUACCAAGCUCUUGAUGUCAAUUGUUAGAAUAUAUGGCCUUAAAGAAGAGGGGGGUGAAUUGAUUAAGAGAGGUUUUUGAAAAAAUUUCAAUGUUUAACAAAUUCUUUGUGUGAACCCAGAACAAAAAUCAGGUUAGCCAAGAAUAUAAGCACUAAAGACAGCAAAGCAACAGAAAAACAAUCGGUUGUUUCUUCAAAACAAUCGAUUGUUUAUACUAGAAAAGCUUAAAACAAAAUUUAAAUGAGUUUAGGGUAAGAGAGAGAUACACCAACAGUUUAUACUGGUUCACUCUUAAACCAAGAGCUACAUCCAGUCCCCAGAAAACCACUGCGUAAUCCACUAAGUAAUCAAACUAUAUUACAACACACAAACCACCAAAGUAGUGACCUUGAACCCUUCAAGAAACACACUCCCUUUGGCAAAACACACCUAGGGUAUUGAUCUUGACUACCUCAAGAGCACACAACACUCCUUGGCAACACAACACCAAAAAUACAGUAGGUUGAGAAGGGAUUACACUUGUUUUCAAUACAAACUGAAAUCAAUACAAUUGCAAUCCUAUUUCACUCUCUUUGAAAACCCAAAGCUUGAUGUUAAUGUUCAAAUCUUGAAAUCAACUUUGUCACAACUGAAAACUCAAAUUUGUUUCUCUUUCUUGUUUGAAAACAUAAAUAAACCAAUUAUAUUUUCCAAAGAUUAGUCAAAGCAAUUAAUGAAGGAACGUAUUCAGUUGGAAAUCAUUUAAAGCACAUUCAACAACCAAAACAAAAUUCUGUUAGGAUUUUCAAAGAAAUAAUCGGUUGAAACCACGAAUCAACCGAUUCUUUGGUUUGGCAGUUAAGUCAACCAACUAAAAUAGUUUUCAACCUUUUCAAAAACUCCUAAGAGUAAAACAACCGGUUGAUUCGAAAAAACAACAGGUUGUUUUUCACUUAGUUGGAAAAAUACUUUAUUUUCUAAAAGGUUUUAAUUCACAUCAGUUUUAGAUUCAACAAAGGAGUGGAUCACAUUCUAUUCUACCCAGAUCCUUCCCCAAACAUAGCAGCAACACAAGCCUUGCAUCAAAGACAUAGGAUUUGGAUUCUUCAAAGCACUUGAUCAUUCUUGAUCAACAGAUAGGUCCUCUCGGAUCACAUUGCACAUCGAACUCGGACAGCUCGACCACCUAACGCACCAUCCGACCCGCCACGUCAGGUUUUUGCAAGACCUUGUGGAUGGGAAGGUCGGUCAUCACGAUCACCGUGAAACUCUAAACAUAGUAGCGGAGCCUUCGUGCUGCAAAUACUACUGCUAGAGUUGCCUUCUCAAUGGCCUGAUAGCGCACCUCGAGCCCCUGCAACACUUUGCUAACAAAAUAUAUAGGCCUCUUAAUGCGAUCUUGCCCCUAGACUAUGACUGAGUUGACCGCUCAAUCUGUAAUAGCGAAGUAUAAGUGGAGGGGAGUACCUGGCAGCGGCUUGCACAGAACCGGCGAGCUGGCCAAGUACUCAUUCAGCUUGAGGAAUGCUUCCUCACACUCACCUGUCCACACAAAUCGGUUGUUCCUCCUUAAGCAUUUGAAAUAGGGACAGGGCGACCAUGUGUCCUGUUAGCUACUGUACCUCCUUCACCGAGAUCAGACUUCUCAUGGCUAUGAUCGCUGCACACUUCCUGGGGUUCGCCUCUAUUCCCCGCUCGGUGAGGAGAAACCCUAAGAACUUCCCUGCUUCCACCCCGAAUACGCAUUUUUCGGGAUUUAACUUCAAUUUAUACCUGGCUAUUAUGGUGAAUAGCUCUUCUAGAUCGACAAUGUGUUGGUCCUUUUCCUUGGAGGUGACGACCAUAUCAUCCACAUAUGCCUGCACAUUUCACCCUAUCAUAGGGGCGAGAUGGUGUCCAUCAGCCUCUGGUAGGUUGCACCAGCAUUUUUAAGCCCAAAGGGCAUCACCUUAUAGCAAUAGCUGGAGAGCUUUUUCAUGAAUGUUGUCUUGCAUUCGUCUCGGGGAUGCAUCCAGAUUUGGUUAUAUCCUGAGAAGGCAUCCAGAAAAUUGAGAAGUCUGCAGCCUGACGCGCUAUCUACCAAGGCGUUGAUACUGGGCAGCAGAUAUGAAUCCUUUGGACAGGCCUUGUUCAAAUCCGUAAAAUCAACACACAUCCUUCACUUCCCAUUGGCCUUCUUGACCAACACCACAUUUGCCAACCACCUAGGGUAUUGGAUCUCCCUUUUGUGGCCAGCACUCAAAAACUUUUUAGUUUCUUGCCUGAUGACCAGGCGUCUUUCUUCACUAAAAUUUCUCCCCCUCUGUAGGACAGGCUUGACCUUUGGAUCCAUCGUGAGAUGAUGGCAUAGGAAAUCAAGGUUGAUGUCGGGCAUGUCCGAGGAAGACCAUGCAAAGGCGUCCAGAUGUCGUGCUAUCACCUCGAUAAUCUGGUCCUGUAUUUCUUGGCUUAAAGAUUUGCCAAGCUUAAACUUCUUUCCCCCGAUCUCCCUUUCCAGCACCUCACCUGCAGGCUUAGGUCUCCUCUCCCGGGCUAUCUCUGCACGGGCGACCCCUUCUCCGUCUUGAGGCUGGCUGGUGAUCGAGCAUACCCCUCUCUUCGUCUUCAAGCUAUUCUUAUAGCAUUUCUUUGCCGCCUUUUGGUCGAACUUAAUGGUAAUUAUCGCUCCCUCUAGGGAAGGAAACUUCAUCUUCCUAUGCCUCGUCGAGGCCACUACUCUUAUCCUAUUCAUGGCAGGUCUGCCCAAGAGGAUGUUGCAAACUUAGGGAGCGUUGACGACGAGGUACCUGAUAUUGACGGUUCGGGAUGUGGUGCCGUCUGUGUAGGUCAUCCUUAGCUUUAUGUGCCCCCUUACUUCUACCUAGUCUCUGACGAAACCGUACAGACAGCCGUCGUAUGGUCUUAGCUGGUCGGGCGACAACUACAAUUUGUUGAAGGUCGACCAAAAUAUUACAUCGGUCGAGCUUCCUUGGUCAACGAGGACUCGGUGUACCCUUCUCCCUACCGUUACCACUGAAAUUACCACUGGGUCAUUAUCAUGUGGGACCACAUCCUGUAAAUCAGCCUUCGUGAAGUAGAGGUCGGGCUCAGGUGACUGAUCAGGUUACCGUGCUUCUACCGCCAGCACCUCUCUAGCAUACUUCUUUCGCUAGGAGGCGGUGCAUCCUCCCCCUGAGAAACCCCUAGAGAUCGUGUUGACCUCGCCAUGGACUGGCACUUCAUGUCCCUGAUCCCCUGCUGGGGUCACCACCGUUGAGGCUUCGUGACCUUCCUCUAGGUAUUCUUUCAGGAAGCCAUCCUUCAUCAAAUCAGCCAAUUGGUGUCCAAGUGCCAAACAGUUAUGCAUGCCAUGCCCAAAGCCCUUAUGGAACUCGCACCAAAUGCCCCUGCUUGGCCCCAAUUUCUUGUCACACUUUGGGGGUGGUUUUAGCUUGUCGGCCACUUCUGGGAUAGCGAUCAACUCCUUGAGGUUUAUUCUGAACUUGAGUCGACAAGGCAUGUCUCCCUUCGCUUGCGCCCUAGUCUAAUGCUUUUUCGGCUCGUAGGGCACAUGUAUUGCUAGUGAUCUCUUCUCCAUCGCAACUUCAUGUACCCUCAUGGGUUGAGCUCGACUCCUCUCCCGAGGUCUUUUCGGUCCAACACUUCCACAUUUUUCCGUUACCUCCUCCUCUGUGUCGAUGUGGGUGACAGCUCGACACCGGAUCUCGCUAUUUGUCUUUGGCCGACACCUUAUUAAAGAAUUGCUGAAUGGCCCUGACAGAAUUCCCCGCCUGAAGGCGUGCACCAUCAGAGCUUCAUCCUUGGUGUGGAGCUUUACCAUCAACACCCCGAACCGGUUUAGGAAGUUCUUCAGGGGCUCUCCUUGGUACUGUUUUACUUCGAAGAGGUCGAAAGAGAUAGGAUGUUGAGCUCGAUUGACUAUGAACUGCUCCUUGAACAAAGUAGAGAACUGAUCGAAAGAGGUUAUGUGUCUGUUUGGGAGUUUAAUGAACCAAUAUAAUGACAUGUCUGCGAGCAUCCCCAUGAACAGUUUGCAAUGCAUGGCAUCUAUUCCUCCGCAGUUGACUUUGGGAACAGGUUGUAACUCCGUCUUGAUUGACAUUAAUGCACAUAUAAAAAUCAUUCAUAUCAAUUCCUCACAUACAAAAUUAUUAAGAUUGUUUCCUAAAUAUCGAUUUCUUGCAUAUUUGUAAAAAUGUGUUAUCAUUACAAAUAGAUGUUAUAAAGCAAUUAACAUUUCAAAUUUAUUCCUAGCAUUCAGAUACGUUAAGCAUUAUCAUUUAGGUCAAAUGCUUAGAAGUACUUUCCAGUCAAAUCUAAUAAUCAAACUCAUGAAUAAAGAUUCAAACUUUAAGAAUAAAAUGAUAAUACCAAUCAUCAAUCAAGAAAAUAUUAUAAAUGAAUAUUACCUUAAUAUAUUAGACUUUGAACAGAUUACUCUUAAUCGCAAAGGAAAGACUUAGCCACUCAUAUUGACCAUUAGAAGCAUGAAAAACAAGUAAAGAAGAACCAAGGUGUUUCUCCUUGACAGUUGCCUCCUCCAAGGUUUUUUAUCUCUGAUUAUCCUCCCAAUGAUGUCUAUGGUUAUACAUCAUGUCUUCUAUUUAACCUAAUUAGGCUUGGAUUAAGUGGCAUCUCGACCAAUCGAGAUAUUGCUUUCUUAAGCGAGUUUCAGGAUAAAAAGCCCAACUUUACUGGAGUGAACUCGCUUAAGAGAGCCUUGGGCGAGUCUUGCGAGUUCCUCUGGAGUGAUCUUGCUUGGGUGAGAUUUCACUGCUCCAAGUUUGAAUUUUCAUCUUGUCUUUCACUUGUCCAUUUUCGUUUAGCCAUUUUAUCUCCAUUUUCCCCUAGAUUCUUGAAAUUAGCACAAACUUGGGAAUAAAUCAUUCUUAUUAAUCUCAUAAUCCAAAAAAUAUGUAAAGAGGUUAAAAUUCCUUAAUUAGAUAUUGAAUGAUAAUUUUAUUAACAAUUAAAGUCCACAAGUGUCUAUCUUUUAGUAUGAAAUAUUACUGAAUUAUGGCACUUAUCAACUCCCUCCAAUCUAAAAUCUUGUUUGUCCUAAAGUAAAGUAAAUGAAUAUAAAUAAAUCAUAUUUGAGUUCAAAUAUCAAAACAACUUUAUUUACUAAACAUCAGAUUAAAUUAGAAACUUUUGGUGCUUCCAACUUCAAAUACAAUAAGAUAUACAAAAUAUGCAAAAUAUGACACCCUAUAAAGACGGUUCCGAAAGAACAGUCGUAAGAGAGGCAGUGGCAUUGUUGUAAUUUUUUUUCAAUUUUUUGCUACUUUUAAUGACGGUUUUCUCCUAAACCGUCGUUAUAUAUGUGAUUGAUGGAGCUUCAUAGGGUGUCGUUAUAUGUUGGGUCUGGCACAAAUUUCAGCUACGCUACGCGGAUGGUCUCUCACUCUCCUCACUUCAUGUUCCUCUCAUCGCUCCCUUUCUCACCUCUCCGCACGUAGCUACUCCAUUCAUCUCUUCCUUCUACCUCACUCUCACUGAAUCUACCUCACUUCAUCUUCUUCCUCGCACAACGUCGUGCCUCUGCCUCAAACCCUCGCCCUUGAAUCGCGUUGCCGCUCUCCUACUUUCACCGCGUUGUCACUCUCCUUCCUCCCUCACUUCAUCAUUUCCUCCGCAUCUCCAUAGAAAUCAUGUGCCAACAACGAAUCGCGCCUCCGCACGCUCUUUGUUGCGCCGCUUCUCCUCCACGACACUACUCUCCAUGCCGUCGUGUCUCUUCCGUACCACUGCCCAUCCUUCUAAUUUGAUAAAGGUCAUGGUGGAGAAGGUCUUUUAUGGUGAUGUUGUAGUUCCUGUUCCAACAUCAGAGGUGACAAUUGUAGCAGAGGCAUUGCAUACUUUCGUUGCCUGGCUUAGACAUCUCGUCAGACCUAUGGACUCUAUGGUAUAUCUUUGCACUAAUAGGAUUACAUAUCAGAUAUAUUACAUUCUAAGUAAUUUAAUUAUUUGUUUGUUUGUUGAUGAGUAGUUGGAACCUAAGACAAAACUGUCUCUGCGAAAGAAGAAAAAAUUCUCCACUAAUGAUCUUAUGGCGUUGGUGGAAGUUGCUACAGCUUUACAUACAACUGUUGUUAAGGUUCCAUGGGAUGCUAAUGUUUUUGGAAGGCAUAGUGAUGUACCCUUGUACAUUCACAUGUCUGAUUUGUUGGACCUUGCAUCUGGAAAUCAAGAGAUUAACAUAACAGUUCUGCAAUUAUGGAUGAUGUAAGUUCAAAUAUUAAAAUAUUUAUACUUUUGAUUAAUUAAAUAUAUUAGUUCUAACUUAUUGAAAUUUAGGUAUAUUUGUGGAUUAUGCUUCAAUGAGGGGAAACAAGAUAUAUAUGGGUUUUUACACCCUCAACUCAUUCAAUCACUUAGAAAUAAGAAGUCAGAAACACAAACAUACAUCACCCCUGCCUUAAAGAAUGGAGGAAAAUGAAUUUAUUUUGCUCCGUACAUCCAUGAGUAAGUCCAUAUUUAUUAAAUAAGUUAUACUAAAUUAUUGAAAUAAGAGAAACUAAUUGAUUUGUUAUAUAAGCGUCAUUGGAAACUAUUGAUUAUAUCUGUUCAAGAUCAUACCGCUGCAUGGUUUUGCUCCUUGCAUAAGAAACCCCCUACCUAUUUUAAACACGUUAUAGAUAGGUACGACAAUUUCAUUUAACAUUUAUUAUUACUUAUAUAUUAUAUAAUGUUAUGUAUUCUAACAUGAAAUCUUCUUAUUUCAGUGCUUACUCUGGAUAUAACAUGUUAAGUGAGAGGGGAAGUGCAAAUGCACAAAAACUCACUUGGAUGUACCUUAAUUUAAAGUACAUAUGUUCACUCAAUUUAAUGUGUCUCAUUCAUUCAUUUAAUACAUUUAUUUUUACAUGCAGUCCAACAGAAAAUCUGAAAGUUAUGAGUGCAGUAACUAUGUUAUGCAGUGGAUGUCAACUAUUGGGGUCAGGUAAUACCUCAAUACAAAAACACUUUAAAACUCAGAGUUUAUUAACUAAUUAAAAAAAAUCUAAUGUCACAAUUUUUCAAUGACGAACAGUCGCUAUGUUUGGAAGCAUUGGAGUACGUAAGGACAACAUGGUCAAAGUAUUUUUUAACCGUAAGAUAGAUAAAUUAUUAGAAUGAGAUAAAACUUUUUCAUAUAUUAGCAAAACUUUUUGUAGAAUGUUAUAAUUUGUUGUAUGUAUUUUCCAUAUUUAAAUUAUGAUUUUAAAUUUUUUAAUUUUUUGGAAAUUUAAUAUUUUAUGCAGGUUUGAGGUGUAUAUAUAUAAAAUAAAACAUUUUUUAAAAAAAAAAAUACAUAUAACGACGGUUCCACGUGGAACCAUCUUUAAAAUGCUUUUUUUUAAAAGGGACACACUUCCUCUACCAUCGUUAAAAAUAUUUAAAAAAUAUAUAUUUACAAUAUAAGUAAUGAUGGUUGAGGAUUCGUCGUUAUAAUUUUUUUUAACGACGGUUCUCCAAUCGUCGUUAUAAAUGGUUUAUUUAUAAUGACACCUGUAAUAACAACGGUUCGGGAACCGUAUUUAUGUCCUUUUUAACCAUCAUUAUUGUACCUUUUUGUACUAGUGAAUCAACUUUCAAGAUAACAACUGAAACAAUGAAAUGACAAUUUAUCAAGGGAUUUUUUCCCAUACGUUCACAGGUAAGUGCUUCUCUCAAUUUCCACUUAAUCCUAACAAAUCAAUUGAUUUUAAUUUCACCUUCAUAUUGUUAGAAUAUAUGGCCUUAAAUAAGAGGGGGGUGAAUUGUUUAUAAAAGAUUUUCGAAAAUUUUUGAAGGUUUAAUGAAACUCAGUGAAGAAAUCUAGAAGAGAAAUCAAGUUAGCCAAGAACACAAUCUGUUUUAAAGUGAAACACUGAAAAACAAUUGGUUGUUUAUUCGAAUCAAUCGGUUGUUUAUAUCAGUUAAAACUUAAACAACUUAAAAAUAGAAUUUAAAGGAGUUCAGAGAAAGAGAAAUGCACACAAGUAGUUUAUACUGGUUCACUCUUACAACAAGAGUUACAUCCAAUUCCCAGAAACCACUGGGUAAUCCACUAAGCAAUCAAAACAAAUUACAAAACACCACACACCAAAAUAGUGACCUUGAACCCCUCAAGAAAUACAUUACCUUUGGCAAACCACACCAAGAGUAUUGAUCUUGAACACCUCAAGAACACAACACUCCUUGGCAAUACAACAACAAAAAUACAAAAGAUAAAGAAAGGAUUACACCUGAUCAAAGUUCAAUUGAAAAGAAUACAAUUACACCUGAUCAAAGUUCAAUUGAAAAGAAUACAAUUGCAAUCCUAUUUCACUCUCACUUGAAAAUUCAAAGCUUGAUGUGAAUCUUAAAAACUUGAGAUCAAAUUUGUCAAACUGAAUUUCUCAAAAUUGUUUCUUACUCUUCAGAAACAUAUAACAAACUAUUUAUAUUUUCCAAAGAUUGGUCAAAACAUUUAAUGAAGGAGCAUAUUCAAUUAGAAAUCAUUUAAGACAGAUUCACCAUUCAAAACUGAAUUUUGUAAGGAUUUUCAAAGAAACAAUCGGUUGAAACCACGAAACAACCGAUUGAUUUGGUUUAACAGUUAAGUCAACCAAGUCAAACAACUUUCAACCUUUUUCAAAACCUCUAAGAACAAAACAACCGGUUGAUUCGAGAAAACAACAACUUGUUUUUCACUUAGUUGAAAAAAAAAAUUCAAAAAGGUUUCAAUUCACAUCAGUUUUAAAUUCAACAAAAGAGUGGAUUACACUUUAUUCUACCCUAAUCCCACCCACACAUAGCAUCAACACCAACCUUUCAUCAAACACCUUGGAUUUGGAUUCUUCAAAGCUCUUGAUCACUCUUGAUCAACAAUCUCCCCCUAUUUGAUGAAGACAAAUCCCUGGUUGCUUGUGUUGAUCUUGUUUGAAUCUGACACAGCACCUGUAAAACAGAAAUCAUGCAAUCCAGAACAUCUCUAAUAGCAGGUUAUAAUGAUAUAUCAACUAGUUUUUCUACAUAACCACAAGAGUAGAAAAACUAGCCAUAAACUAUGCCAAAAACAUCAAAAUUGCAACGCCAAAUCAAACAACAUAUGCUGCAGAAUUUAAAGGCACUUGAAUUUCCAAGAUAUGGAAUAUAUUCUUUUUAUGACAAGAAGUAACCUCCUCCUGAACCAAAUCAGACUCAUAUGACUGCUUCAUUGACUCAUAAUUCUUUUAAGAUUGAAAUCUGAAAAAGAUAGAAAGCAUAAAGAAAUUAAAUCAAUUUUAUGCAGAGCUGUCAGAGGAGAAACAAUCGGUUGUUUCGAGAAAACAAUCGGUUGUUUUUCUGAAACAACAACUAAAUAGAAUUUUUAAAAGCAAAGAAGAAUCAAAAUGUAAUUGCUCCACAUAUAUCACAAUUUGAUGAAGAUUUAACACAUAUUAAGAAAAGAAAAACAACAUAAACAAAGAAAGCCUUAUCCUUUUGUCAUAAAGUCCCUUCAAUGAGUCAUUGUUCAUGAUUAAGAAAACUUAUUUUGGCUUUUAAGAAGACUUAAGCUGGUACAGAAUCCUCAGUUCAAUUCCAGAAAGAAUCCUUUCCUUCCAAAAGCUUGAUUUGAUGACUCAAGAGUCCCUACUUGUCUUAGUAUUCCUACAACACAAAAAAUUCAAGAAACAAGAUUUGGGUCCUUAUGAUUUAUAUUUAUCACUGGAAACUUCAGAAUCUUUGGGAAUCCAUCUUAUAAUACCUUUAGGAACAUAAUAUUUCCUAAUUUUACAGAAUCUAACAGAGUGGCCUCUCUUCAUGCAAUAAAAACAUGUAACAACCGGUUGUUUCGAUUUUUCAAUCGGUUAUUUUUCUGGCACUUUUGAAAAAGGCUUUGAAAUCCCAUUUUUCUUGCUUUGAGGAUUAAACCCCAAACCAGAUUUUCCAGAAACACAUUUUUGGGAUGCCAAGACAGUUUCAAAGUUAUAUUUACCCUUUGAAAGUGUAUCCACAGUUCUUACAAGAUAGUGGACUUUACUCUCAAGAGUUUUACAAUUUUCACAAGCUUUUGAGUGACACAUGCAAGAAGAAUUCUUGCAAUGCAAUUCAAGAUUUUCAAAAUCAGUUUUUGAAUUUUCCAAUUCUUCUUCAAGUGUCUUGACUCUAUUUUCAAACCAAUUAUUCAACCCUUUCAACCGGUUGUUCAAGAGAGCCAAUCGGUUAGCUUCCUCAUGAGUUUCUUUAAAAGCUUGAAGCAAUUGACUAUAGUUUUCAGCAUUUAAAGAGGCACAAGAACUUACACUGCUUGAAUCAUCUUUUCUCUCUGCCAUCAAACACAGAUUGGCUUUUUCAUCUUCACUUGAUGAGGAGACUUCAUUUUCAUCCCAAGCAAUUGGCCUUUUUUGAUUUCUCUUUCUUGCUUGACUUUUUUUCCUUGCCUUCUUUAUUUGGGCAUUCAACUUUCAUAUGCCCUUGUUCUCCACAACCAAAACAAAUAUAAUUGUUAGGAGUAAAAUCACUAGUUUUCUUGUUUCCAUACCUUUCUUUGUUGGAUUCUUUGUUGCGGUUUCUCUUCAAGAAUUUGCUGAACUUUUUGGACAGCAAACUAAGAGUUUCUCCCUCACUUUCAUCACUUGAGUCUUGCUUAUUUUUGUUCUUGGCAACUUUCAAGGCUAUGUUCCUUACAUGCUUGUCUUCACUUUCUUGAACAUUGAGUCUAUUCAUCUCUAACUCAUGUUCUCUAAGCUUUCCAAAUAAGGAGGUUGUGGUUAAGGAUGUCAAAUCCUUAGACUCAAAGAUGGAAAAAUUUUUGGUUUCCAAGAUCUAUCAAGACACUUUAGAAUCUUGAUGCUCAACUCCUCCUUGUCAAAAGUUUUUCCAAGACUCAUUAGAUAAUUGACUAUGUGGGUGAAUCUCUUUUGCACUUCAACAAUUGAUUCUCCUUUGAGCAUUCUGAACAUCUCAUACUCUUGUAUUAGAGUAUGUUUCCUUGCCCUUUUCAUAUCAUUUGUCCCUUCAGGGGUGACCUCUAGAGUAUCCCACAUUUCCUUAUCCGCCGAUGCACAUUAUGAGAUACUGAAAAAUUCAUCAGAGUUCAAAGCAGAGGUUAUGAUAUUCUUGGCAAUGCAAUCAAACUUGGCCUUUUUAUUUUCAGCAUCAGUCCAUUGGGACCAAGGUUUUUCAAUAGAAGCACCUUCCUUUUCAAAUUUUGGAAUAAGAGGUUCAUUCUCAAUUGCAUCCCAAAUCCCUUUAUCAAGAGAUUCAACAAAGAUUUUCAUUCUAACCUUUUAAAACUAAUAGUUCAAACCACAAAACAAAGGUGGCCUGUUAAUUGAGGCACCCUCCCCAAAACGUAGUUUUUCAGCCAUAGAAAAAAGGAUUUAGGAUUGAAAACUUGAGUAACUACAAGAACUUAGCUCUUGAUGUCAAUUGUUAGGAUAUAUGACCUUAAACAAGACGGGGGGAAUUGUUUAUAAAAGAUUUUCGAAAACUUUUGAAGGUUUAAUGAAACUCAGUGAAGAAAUCUAGAAGAGGAACCAAGUUAGCCAAGAACACAGUCUAUUUUAAAGUGAAACACAGAAAAACAAUCGGUUGUUUCUUCGAAUCAAUCGGUUGUUUAUACCAGUUAAAACUCAAACAACUUAAAAACAAAAUUUAAAGGAGUUUAGAGAAAGAGAAAUGCACACAAGCAGUUUAUACUGGUUCACUCUUACAACAAGAGCUACGUCCAGUUCCCAGAAACUACUGGGUAAUCCACUAAGCAAUCAAACCAGAUUAAAAAACACCACACACCAAAGUAGUGACCUUGAACCCCUCAAGAAACACACUACAUUUGGCAAACCACACCAAGAGUAUUGAUCUUGAACACCUCAAGAACACACAACACUCUUUGACAAUACAACAGAAAUGCAGAAGAUUCAGAAAGGAUUACACCAGAUCAAAGUUCAACUGAAAAGAAUACAAUUGCAAACCUAUUCCACUCUCACUUGAAAAUCCAAAGCUUGAUUUGAAUCUUGAAAACUUGAGAUCAAAUCUGUCAAACUGAAUUUCUCAAAACUGUUUCUUACUCUUCAGAAACAUAUAACAAACUAUUUAUAUUUUCCAAAGAUUGGUCAAAACAUUUAAUGAAGGAGUGUAUUCAGUUAGAAAUCAUUUAAGACAGAUUCACCAUUCAAAACUGAAUUCUGUUAGUUCAAAGAAACAAUCGGUUGAAACCACGAAACAACCGAUUGAUUUGGUUUAACAGUUAAGUCAACCAAGUCAAACAGCUUUCAACCUUUUUCAAAACCUCUAAGAGCAAAACAAUCGAUUGAUUUGACAAAACAACAGGUUGUUUUUCACUUAGUCGGAAACACAUUUAAUUUUAAAAGGUUUCAAUUCACAUCAAUUUUAGAUUCAACAAAAGAGUGGAUCACACUUUAUUCCACCCAAAUCCCAUCCACACACAGCAUCAACACCAACCUUUCUUUAAACACUUUAGAUUUGGAUUCUUCAAAGCUCUUGAUCACUUUUGAUCAACACAUAUCACAAUCACAUUAGAACAUGAAUAUUAAGGUCUUUUUCAGGGUUAUAAUGGGAUUGAGCUUUCAAUGAAUAUUGGUUUUUCAUAUAAGAAAAUACACAAUUAAAAGAAAAACAACAUACCUACAAUGCAUAUGUGUUAUCUAAUCACUAACUUCUUUUGAGUUUAAUACUUUUCCCCAUUUUCUUUACUUAUUCAUGAUUUCAACUUUUUUUUUUCUAAGAGAAUAGAAAUAGAUUAUUCCUAUUUCUAACCAAAUGAAUUAUUUAAACUUAUAUUAUUCAAACAACUGAAACCAACCAUUCCUUUUUUUCUAUAUAUAAAUUGCAUUUAUGUUCUCCUUCCUUAAACAUGUCAACAGGUAGGAAAAUAUAUUAGUUAAGGUUCAGGGUGCAAUAAUAAUAACAAAUAUUCUUGGCUCAAAAAGGUUAUCACAGAGAUAUAAUCAAUUUAAAUAAAGGUUGGCUAAAUGACUCUAGCUUUCUAAUUAAUACAAAUGCCUUAAUCAUUUUCAUGCUCUUUUAUGAUGUAACAUAAAAUAAAAAAAUCAAGCAACCAUAACUGUCAUUCAUCAGUGAAACUCUCAAACUAUUUAAGAUUCACACACUUACUUGGCUUAAUUAGUCUAAUUCCUUUUUGCUUGUCAUUCUCUAUUUCAACUAAUCAUCCUAUUUAAUUUUUAUGUACCAUAAUCUAAACUAAAUUGGAAUAUGGAUUCAACACAUUUUCUUUUCCAACCUGUGUCUAUAUCAUUUCAUUAUUCUAAUCUUAAACACAAAUUUUGAUUAAUAAUUUUCCCACAAUUCAAAUUAAUAUUCCAAUUCUUACAAUAAUAUUUAAGAAUAAUGUAAACUAGAAAAACAACUCAACAAAUAAAAUAAAACUAAAAAUAACUCAACAUAUAAAAUAAAAUUUAGAAACAAAAUAAGCAAAUUAAACAAACUUAAAGGAAAUAACUAUAAAGAUAAAACCAUGUUUUGUGCUCAAUCAUCUCUUCUUAGCAACUCAUCCAACUAUGUGUUGAAAUCUUAAUAUACAGUCGUAGAUGGUCCUGCUUCAUCUACUUGAAUUGCCCCCCGAAGAAAUAAUACUUAUCUCCAAACCAUGCAAAUAAGCUCCAAAGUGAUCUGCAGGCAUAAAUUCUCAAAAUUUAUGUUAAAACAUUACAGAAAAUCCUUUUAUCAAAACUGAACUAUCAAUUUUAAUGGAUUAAAAAAUUUAUUUAAUAUGUUGAUUUCACUUAAGGUGAAAAUAAUGAAUUAUUUCAAAUUUUCAAUUUUUUAAAACCAUUCCGGAUAAUAACAUCCUUAAAACCAAGAGAUUUCAAUAAGCUAAAAACUAAUUAUAACAGAUUAAAAAAAUCUUUACAAAACUACUUGGGAUUUUAAAUAUAAUUUGAACAAAUUGAUUUCAUAAAAUAAUCAAUUGAAAUAUGUUGGGUUUAAUAGUGCCAAAGUUCAAGAGGGGGGGGUGAAUUGACCUUUUAAAACUUUCUCGCAGAAACAAUGUUUAACUCAGUUUUACAGAAAAUAAAUCGAUUUAUGUGAAAAUGAACAGAUUUAUUUCAGCACUGUUUUUGUUUGAAACGCUUUUAAUACAACAAUAUUAACCACAAGACUAUGCAGAUAGAUUUUCCAUAUGCAUACACACAGAUAUCAGAUUGAAAAACAGUGAAAUACAAAACAGCAAGUUUCAAUUUCCAGUAAGUGAUUAAGGUUCAAUUGAUAGCAUGCUAAUUAAUUGAGUGACCUUUGCAAACAACCUGUUCCAGUGGCUUUUAACAGACUAUGAGUGUUCUUCUUGAUGUCAAGCAAUUUUCCAGAAAUUAAGAACAAUGAAUCACAGAACAGCAAGCUUCAACUUUAAGCAAUUGUUUAAGGUUCAAUUAAUAGCUUUGACAGUUUCUUGGGCAACCUAUCACAGCCAAUCUGUUCCAGUAACUUUUAGCAGAUUUUAUAUGUUCUUAUCAGAUUAAGACAACUUUUUCAGAAAUCAAGAACAGUAUGCACAGUGCCCAGAAAGAACAGAUUUAUUUUCAAUUGAACAGAUUUAUUUCUUUGCUGUUUUAUCAAUUAUGCAGAAACGAAAUUGCAGAGAGUGAGAGAGAAUGAACACAAGCAAUUAUACUGGUUCACUCAACUGAGCUACAUCCAGUCUUCACCAACAACAGGUGGAAAUCACUAACACACAGUACAACCAAGAACAAUUCCCACUGUUCUUGAAACCUACAAGAACUUAGGUACUCUUGCUGAAAAAACCUAUUUCAGCAUACACACACACCCACUCUUCAAGAACACCUACCAAGAAGAGUGUUCAACCAAACUAUUACAAGAAAGAGAUGUGAAACGACUACACCUGAUUGAGGAUACACAGAUCUGCCUUAAACCAGUAGGCAAGAUUGCUAGAACAGUAGCUGCACCUCACACCAAGCUUUUGGAACCAAACCAAGAACAAGCACUUUGUGAUUUUUGAAUCUUUGAAGAACAAAUGCUAAUUCUUUGUAAACACUUAACUCUCUGCUGUCAAAACUUGUUUUUGCAAAUGUAUGAAUUGUUUGAAUUGUUAUUAAACUCAGAAACAAGUUUGCAUUUUAUAGAAAACCAACUUAUAACAGAUUUUUGAAAAACAGUUAAAGCUGUUAUAAAAUGAACAGAUUGAAAAUAAAAUGAACAGAUUUAUUUUCAAAAAGCAGUUAGAGAAUUUGUUAAGUGAGGAGACUUAGUCAACCAUUCUGGUGCAGAGAUAAAACUGAAAAACGUUUAAGCUUGACAUGGCACCAGAGACAAAAAGAAUCUAUUCAUUUACAGAUGAACAGAUUUAUUUUUCAAAACGAAAACAGAGAAAGUUUAACAAUUUAAAACUCAGUCGUUUUGAAAAGAAGAAGACUUAGUCAAAAUAUCUGAUGCACAAAAUCUAAUUUUUACAAGACUUUAGCCAAGGCAUCAGUGAAGAAAAAUGAAUCUGUUUAUUUAGAAAAGAACAAAUUUAUUUUUAUGCAGUAAACGUGUUUUUGUGUAAAACAUGUGAAAAAUAGUUUAAGAAAACUUAUGCUUGUUCUUAUCACAUGGCCAGUGGUUAUGAGGUGAGUUACCCAGCAAAAAGCCCACUCUUAGACAACCUCUAAGCACCACCUAAGACAUACUUAAAGCAAAGCAAAAUACAAAUGAAAUGUACAUAUAAGACUUCAUCAAACACUACAUAUAAGUUCAUCAAACACAAUCUUGAAGGGGCAGCAACCAUCUUCAACAAAAUAUUCACUCCAAUCUUUAAAGAGGUUAAGAAUUUUUAACAGAAUAAAAAUAUCAUUUAGAUCCAUUGAAAUUAUCUUAAUACGAACAAUAAGUUCCAAAUAGUCUGAAAACAUUCUGAAAUUAUUCUUGGAUUAUGUGGAUCAUUAACCUUGGUAAUCGGAAAAAUACAGACACAUAAACUCACAGACACACACUAUGUAAUCUAAGUCUUCUCUUCAAACUUGGAUUCAUCAAAUAACUCAUCUUCAAUUGUACCUGCAUAUGAGUGCUUUGAGCAUAUCUUGUUUAGAUUCAUAAAGUCUGCGCACAUUCGCCAUUUGACGCUCACCUUUUUUUACCAUGACCACAUUAGCUAAUCACUCUGUGGUACAAUCCAAGUAGACAAGAAGAUGACCAAGGACUCAAGAGACCAUUCACACUAUGAGCAGUCAUCUCAACAAUCAAGUCAAGACCCCACCAAAGAUCUAAUGGACCUCACCAGAAGAAGAACUGGGCAUAGACAUGUCGUAAAUAAUUUGGGGUCACUUUAGGGGUCCAAAUAACAAGAUAGGCUAUAGUAGGUUCAUAUAGCAUAAAAGGGAGUGUUCUUAGCGAAAUUGGCUUAUAUUAAGCCCACUUUUCAAGACAAGGCAUCUAGGUUUAGGAAGGUUGCCCUACCUUCUAGAAAACCUAGCCAAAGGGGUGGUUUUGACUUUAGUCAACCUCCCUUGGCCGCCCCUUUUCAUGCCCAUUAUACCCUUGUUUCAUCUUGUUUUCCAAGGCACCCAUUGUUAAAAAUAGGGUGUCUUGCCUCAUGUUAUGACCCAUUUAAAAUUUCAAAUAGAAAGGAAACUCUGCACAAAUUGUGAGUGAGAUUUGUGUUCUCUCAACUUUGGUCUUAUCUUGUGAGAGUGAGAGCUCUUCAAGUGGCGACCCUCAUCACUUAUCUUGGAGAUCCCACACCUCCAAGUGGCGUGUUCAUUCAUUCCCUUCACCAUAAGCUUUCCUAUCCUUCAUCUUUUCUUCCAUUUUCGAUUACACCAUUUAUCCUUGUGUUUAUGUUCUUGUUUUGCUUCCAUUUUCAAUUCGGUCUCCUUCAUUAUAUUUGCUUCCAUUUGUGUUCUUUCAUUUUCGCAAAGCAUCAUCAUCUUCACCAUAUCUUGUGUUUUCCUUUUUGCCUUUGGAAGUGAACAUUCACACUUAACCACUUGGUUAAGUUCGUGUCCAGUGGGGAUCUUCCCUAGGUCUCACCCUAUAAUUGCUAAAAUUCAAACCAUGAACAAAGUGCCACCAUUAAAAUGGACAAACCUAAAAUCAACUCACAUCACUCUGGAUAUUAGAUUUCCCGAAUAUGCUCACACUAAAAGAAAAUCAUUAAAUAGAUAGAGACAAAAAUUCAUUAGUUACUAUAUUGACUAAAUUAGAUACUAUGUUAGAGAUUAAACAAAAUUUUGAUAUCUAAAGUAGUCUCUAUUAUUAAUAAAAAUCAUAAACUACUUUCUAAAUUGGUAUCUAAUUAGCUACCAAGGUAUCUACAGUGGUAUCAAAUUAACUGCUAGUAUCUAAAACUUUGGUUGUUAAUUAGAUACUAAUUUAGAAACUAGUUUAUAAAUUUUAUUAAUAAUAGAAAUUAAUUUAGAUGCAAAUAAGUUUUUAGUCUCUAAAGUAGUAUCUAAUUUAGUCAAUAUAGUAACUAAUUACUUUUGGUAUCUAAAAUUUAUUUAUAUUUAAUGAUUUCCUUAUAGUGUCACCCACUAGUAGUUUAUGAUAUUCUUCUUUGAUUACCUGUCUUUUUUCUUCACAAAUUUCCUUCUUCUCUAAAUAAUUGGCUUCACCCUCGGUUGACAACUAAAAGAAUGGCAUAAGAAGUCGAUAUCUAUACUAGGAAUUUCAAAGGUCGUCCAGAAAAAGAACUAUAAGUUUGCUUUUAUCAAAUUUAUCAAUUUACUCUCGACUUGUUUGUGCAAGGCUCUGCCAAUUUUUAUCUUCUGGCCCUUCCUAAUGUUCGUCAUCUCCCACUAGUUGCGGCCUCAAAUCUUUGUACAUGAUUCAUGGUUCAAGGUCUAAAUUUUUUAUAUCGAAUGAGUAGGUUGUUGAGUAAGCAUUUUGACACAUGUGCAAACUAUUCGCGUGAAACUUCCAGGUCGUCCUUUAAUAUACCUUUAAUGUCACAAUGUUUCCUUUAGAAGCUGGGAACUUGACUUUGAAAUGUAUGAAAGACACUAAUGCUCCUAGUUUAUUCAAGAAAGGUUUCCCAAGGAGCAGAUUAUAAGUGUAAGGACCUUUAACUACAAUAUAUCUCACCAUAAUAGUACUUAUUGACUCUUCAUCGGUAAAGGUGGUUUGGAGAUCAACAUAUCCCCACACUUCUACUUGAACUGCUAAAAAUCUGACCAAAACACCAUCAGAUGACUUGAGUUGAUCUGAUACAGUCAUUCUUAAGUGUUGAAUGGAGAUUGAUGGAAGGCAGCGAAAGACUUGUAAAUUUGUGGAGGGAGCACAAAAUGGCUAUAGAGGUUCUUGGUUUGGGCAUGAGUUUACAAGGUUGAUGACUAUUUUACAACAAGUGUACCGUGUCAGAAGUAAUAAAUACCUAAGGAUGAAUAUUGAACUCACAAGGAACAUUUCCAAAUCUCAAGUAUAAUAUUCACUAAAUAUAAGAAAAUAUAUAAAAGUUUUUUGGAAAGGUUGUUUGUAUGGUGAAUUUGCAAGAAAUUAAAUAAAGAAAAGUAAAAGAGUUGUAUGAAUCAAUUGGGGUUCAUCCUUCUCACUCGUCUAUAUUUUUCAAAAGAAUAUAAUAUUCAAUCUUGAUUGAUAUUGAUGCAUAUAUAAAAAUCAUUCAUAUUGAUUCCUCGCAUAAAAAUUAUUAAGAGAGACUCCUAAAUAUCGAUUCCUCGCAUAUUUAUAAAAUUCCUUAUCAUUACGAACAAAUGUUAUAAAACAAUUAACAUUUCAAAUCUAUUCCUAGUAUUCAAAUAUGUUAAGCAUUAUCAUUUAGGUCAGAUUCUUAGAAGUACUUUCCAGUCAAAUUUAAGGAUCAAAAUCAUGAAUAAUUCAAUCUUUAAGAAUAAAAUGAUAAUACCAAUCAUCAAUCAAGAAUUGAAAUGUUAAUGGUUUCUAAAAAAAUAACUUAAACAAUAUGUUUAGUUUAUUUCAUAUACGAUUUGAUAACAUAUACCUAUAUUUGUUCAUAUACACAAUACAUUCAUAGUAUAUUACCACACAAAUAACAUGUACAAGAGUAUGUUAUCAAAAUAAAUUAUCUUAACAAGACAACUUUAUUCAAGUUAAUUAUCACUAUAAAUUCACAAGUCAAAUCAAUUCAUCAUCUUAUCAUCAACUACAUGCAUACACACAUACAAACAAACACACGUACACACACAUACCACACAUGGAUCCAUGCAUUCAAUGAUAUUUAUCAAGGAAUGUCUCAUACGGAAAACUCAUAAUAAGCAUUCACUAGUAGAGACACUACAAGAAAAAAUAGUUUUAACGAAGGUUUAUUUUUACAUUAUCAAGGGUUAAAACCCCUAUUAAGUCAUUUACCCAAGGUUGCAGUUUGCCCCGUUAAACCAUCCCUGGGGAACGUAUUUCCCGGGGUAUUUUUAAACCUCAAGAAAAGUCUUUCAAAACCCUUACUAAAUAUCAUGGGUUUAAGAACCUCCGUAAAAUACCAUGGGUUUCAAAACCUCUAUUAAGUAUCAUAGGUUUCAAAACCUCCGUAAAACACCAUGGGUCUCAAAACCUCCAUAACCAUGGGUUUCAAAACCUUCGUUAAAUUCUAUGGGUUUAAGAACCUCCGUAAAAUACCAUGAGUUUCAAAAUUUCCGUAAAAUGACUUGUCGUUUGAAAUAACCUUCAACCCCAUUUUCCACCAUCCACUACAAAAAAAAUCACGUUUAGCGACCACCAAAUUCGGUCACUAAAAGCACUAUAAUUGGUGGCUAAACAUAUUUGCGACCGAAACAGUCACCAAAUAAAGAUGGAAGCGAAAACCCUAGUCGCAAAGCCUUUAGCGACCGAAUUAUAAAGUGGUCGCUAAUUUGCAACCGAAAUUUCGGUGGCUAAAUCGGUCAUAGAAAAUUUGGUCAUCAAAAUUCAGAAACCAAAUUAGCAACCGAUAUUUCAGUGGCUAAAUCGGUUGCAGAAAAUUUGGUCACCAAAAUUCGGAAAUCAAAUUAGCGACCAAACUUUUGUAAACAAAUCGGUGGCUAAAUUGGUGGCUGAAAUAGAAGGUGAUAGUGACCACCAUUUUCGGUCGCUAGUGGAUUAAUUAAAAAAAAAACUUUUGGUGGCUAAUUCGGUGGCUAAAUGGAGACCCUAUAACAACAUAUUUGAUUUCGAUGGCUAAAUAUUUUUUUUAAUUACAGCAAUCGAUUCUAUUUCAGUAGCUAAAAAACAACUUUGUAGAUGUAGCCACCAAGUCGGUUUCGAUGACUAUUUUUUAUGUAUUAUUAAUAUCUAUUUAAACUAGUAUUUUGACCAUUUUAUAAAAAAAUUCAAAUAUGCUUAUAGAUACUUAAAAUUGUGGGAAGCUAAAUAGGAAUGAACUUCAAAUACAUAAUUUAAGAAAUGAAAUCAAAUUGAUUAUUGUUAAAUAUAUAUAUAUAUAUAUAUAUAUAUAUAUAUAUAUAUAUUUGUUGUAGUAAGAAGUAAUUAAGGAAUUAAAAUGUUUAAAAAUACAAGUAUUCGGUUUUAAUGUUAAGUUUUGUAAUAACUAAAAUCAUGUCAAGUCUUCAUGUUUCAAUGGAUCAAAGGUUAUGCAAUGUGACGUAACAACAACACUAAAAUAGUAUUAAUAAAUCCAGGUUCCAUAUUUUUAUACAAACAAGAAAGAGAAACCUAAUUUGGAUGAUGAAGGAUUACAGUGUCUUUGUAUAUAAAAUGAACCAAGGCCUAAUAGACGCAAGAAAAUAAUUAGAUAAUGAAGAAAAAUGGUAUGAGAUUACACAUUAAAACUGAACUAAGUAGCAAUGCUACCUUGAAAACUCUAGGCUCCAUGUCAUUGAGAACUAUCACCCUAUCAUCUUUCCCUAACCCAUUGGAAAACAACAGGAAAAAUAAAACUGGAUGCCUCACACUAACAACAUUCUUCAACAAAAAUAAUGCAGGUGCCUUGUACUUCUCAAACAUAAGCUUUGUUGUCCUGCAAUAAUAAAAUCCAAAAUAUACGAACUGACACUUUAAGAUGAGCUCAUAAUUCUAGACAAUAAAUUAUAAUAAGAAUACAUUUCUCUCUGCUAUUGAGAGUUUGAAGAAGGCUCUACAAGGAUCAUAGGAUGCUCUUUAGGAUCAAUAAGUAGGCAAUCCCUACCAAAAACAGAAAGCAUGGUCGAUCAAUAGGCACUCUCUACCAGAAAAAGAAUGUGAACCAGUGACAAAUAAAAUAAUAUGUGGAUUUUAUAGUGACCAUGCAUGAAACUUGUUUUAAAUCAUGCUAUUUAAUUAGAACCAUUUGUCUGGACACCCCAAGGUAAAAAUUGAAGCAACAAUUACCCUAUUAACAUUCUAGGGUAGGUUAAAAAUUCAUUACAAUCUUAAAAUGCAACAAUAAAAGAAUAGUAAUGCAUAUUAUAGAAUUUGGCACAUGCAGAAUUAUAUACAUGAAUAGAGUCAUAGUAGCUGGGAGGAUGAAACUAGCCUAAGGGGGUACUGUUGCUCCCCCAUGGCAUGGACCAGCAGGUUUGAGAUCUAGAACUACAGAAAAUAAGGUCUGCAGAUCAUGUAAUAUGAAGCAUGGCCUCAGUAGGAUGGAAGGGGAAAUGUGUGUGAAGCAAUUACCAAGCCAAUGUUAAAGCAGAAUAUAAACUUAUUGAAUGAGGGGUGUCGUGCAAUAGGGAUGCAAAACCUAUACAUGCUUCAAAAUGAAAUGAGAGCAAUCAAAACUACAUCUAGAAGAAAAAAAACAUUAUUGUUGAAAAUAACCAUUACAUGGAAAUUAGCCUUACCUUUAGUUGUCUCUGCUGGAAGAACAAUUUAAUAUUGACAAGGGUCUAAAUCUACAACUACAACAAAGAAAUUAAAAAUAAAAAAAAAGAACCCAGGUAGCAAAAUUGAAGUGAAUCAGGAAAGCAUGAGAGUAAUUGUAUUAGGUUUAACCUAUGAAGCUAUAAUGGGAAAUAGUUGGUAAGAAAACCCAGAUGAUGCAAUUGAAAGGUGUAAGCAGAGAAAAUGUCACUUGGCAGCAAUGUUCAUAUUCAAUAUAGUUUAUAAUAGUCAUAGAUUAAAUAAUGUGAAUGGAAUCAGAAGCAAAGAAUGGUGGCAGAGUAAACUUGCUUCUAAAUGCAAGGUUUAGACAAUCCAAUUAAAGCUAACACACCAAUGUCUAUAAAAAAAUUCAUUAUUAUUAAGAAAACUAAACAUGAAAUAAAGCUUCAACUAUUAUCUAUGUCAUUCCUUAUCAAUUAUAGGAGCAUACGAUCCCAAAACUAUUGUCGCUGGUAAAGUUUGUGAUACUUUAGUUAUAGUUAUAUUACAAAACCAAAGCAACACUAGAUAAUAAUAACUAAAAAUAUACGAGAAACUAAAAUUAAAAUUAAAAAAAAUAUAUAUUAACUAAACCAAGAUGUUGAAAAUAUAAUUAUUAUACAAGAACAAACACUUUAGAAUUUAACUUGAAUACCUGCAAGUUCAUAUACGAAUUAAUAGAAACCAAAUAACCUGAAGAAAAAAAAAACCAGUGAAGACAAUCAACAAAAUGAAAUCCAUGCAGUAUUUGACCACCUUAGGAAACUGCAAGGAAGCAUUUAGAAAUGAAAUAACAAUAGAGAAAAUGAUCCAUAACAAAUCAUCAUACCCUUGUACUCCAUUCUCCACUUGAGUUUCACAAUUACAGGCUUCCUGGUCAAAUUAUUCAAGACAGGUUUGGGAUUAACUGGUAUAGUCUGCAAAACACGAGGUAAAAAAUAAACUUACAAAAAUUAGAAAAUAAAGCACAAUCAAUCACACGCUGUGAUCUUUUAUACUCAAAGAACAUUGGCUAGUUCUAGAUCUACUUCCACUAAAACUCUUUCAUUCCGAUUAAACAUCAAAAAAAUGCACAACAAUUCAGAAAAUGGAGAUCGGAGAUCUAGGGCAUGAAAAAUGGGGAAAAUGAAAAGCAAUUUUAAGAAACCAAAUCGGGGCAAAUUGAAAACGAAUACCAAAUAAGAGCUUCGAUUGAGAUGAUUGAGCUUCGAUUGAGAGAUGAAGAUUAGAAUAUAUGGAGAUGAAGAGCAAACAACUACUGUGUGUAUAAAAACCACGAAACUUUAUAAGUAUGUGAAAAACUGCGGGAAGUGUGUAAGAAUAUGAGAGUGUGUCACAGAUUUGCGUCAUUCUCGUUCGCGAUGCAGAGGCCCUAGAAAGAGAGAGAGAGGUGGGGGAGCAAUGUAGCGAAAACCUAAAUUGUUGGCGUUCAUCGUCAUCGUCGUUGGCGGCAGUCUAAGAAGCCAUGACCUGAGCGAGGCGCUGAGCAGCGGCUUUGCCUGCAACAUUCUGAGUCCUUUUGACGGUUGAAAUUCGAGUUGCAGUGAGGGUGAGUGAGGAAGAACAAGAAUGGCCAUUUCCUUUUUCUUUUUCUUUUUUUUUUAUUAUUAUUAUUAUUAUUAGUAUUAGUAUUAGUAAAAGACACAUUUAUAUUUAGCCACCAAAAAAAAUCGGUGACUAAAAAAUAAACAUAUUUGGUGGCUGAUUCGGUAGAAAAAAUAAACCGUUACAUUUAGCGACCAAAAGAAAAUCGGUGGCUAAAAUAUAAACAUAUUUGGUAGCUGAUUCGGUGGCAGAAAUAAACAAUUACUUUUAGCGACCAAAAGAAAAUCGGUGGCUAAAAUAUAAACAUAUUGGGUGGCUAAUUCGGUGGCAGAAAAUAAGCAAUUAUAUUUAGCGACCGAAAGAAAAUCAGUGGCUAAAAAAUAAACAUAUUCGGUCGCUAAUUUGGUCGCAGAUAUAUUUUUCCCAAUUUAUUCAAAACAGCCACCACUUUAGCGACCGAUGGUUUUGUGACUCUCAUGUUCGGUCGCUGAUUCGGUCGCAAAACUAACUAACAUCAUUACAAUUCAUUCGGUCACUGUUUCGGUCGCAGAUUUGACACUGAAGGUAUUUGGUGGCUAUUUCGGUCGUAAAUUGCAACUACUUAUUUUCGGUCGCUAAAUUCGGUGACUAAAUAGUUAUUUUCUUGUAGUGAUCUCUAACGGUCCUUCUAACUUCUCUCUUCCAUCGUAGACACACUACUCUCCGGCACAGGCUUAAUGAUCGCCAACGACAAUCCUAACAAGGAAUCACAAUUCAGUCACACUUAUGUUUAUUAUAUCUAAGGACAAGAAACACUAAAUAAAGCAUUAUCUUCUUCUUACCCCAAUAUUGCUUCUUCGAUCACCUUACUACCCCAACUCAUGUCACAAGCCACUGUUACCUAGCUCGACAACAACUAAUGUUUAUCACUUCUUUAUAUAUCAUAAAUAAUUGCAUUAUUUGUUAGAUGUUGACUUCAAAGUCAUGUGUGUUCUUGGCUACGAGGGCUUCAAAGUCUGUAAGAACAUAUUGUGAGGAGAAAUUAACUUUAUCAAUUCUCAAUUUCACAGUGAAUUAAUUAUUGGAUGAAUUUUAAAAUAAAGGUCUUAAUCUAAAAUAUUUCAAAAUUAUGAGAAUUAUAUAUUGACAAUUAUAACUAAAACUAACAUUACAGAUAAAAUAUACAUACAUCAAAAGCUAAAACAAAAUAAGUCAAAUUUUUUGAAGUAUGAGUUCGUAACAAAAAAAACUAGGAAUUAUAUAAACCAAAUACCAUAAAUCAUAAGAAAUAUGCAAAUACUGUUAAAAUACUUAUUAUCCAAGAUUAUUUUGCUGAAUUUUUAAAAUAAAUAUUUGAAACUUUAGAAAACUUAUUUGUAAUGUAAAGUUACAUUUUCAAAAUUUUAGAGAAUUUAGUUAUAAAAUUUAUAAAUAUAUUAAAACUAUAUAGUUUUCCAUUAUUUAUUUAUAAAUAGAUUUAGUUAUAUUUAUUUAUUGAAGUUCGAAAAUAAUGGAGUGUUUUCUUGAAGUUCAACAAUAAAUCUUUGAAAUUUAACAAAUGUUAAAAAAACAUCCGUUAUUUUUUUGAGAUUUUAAAUAUAAACCUUGAAAUCAAUUAAAUCUCAGUUAAUUAAAUCAAUUCAUUGGAUUAUUUAAACUUCGCUAAAUAACCUCCAUUAAAACCUUUUUUUUUCUUGUAGUGAGACUAUAUGAAUCAAGGUAAGUUUAAGGUAUAGGCAUAUCCAAAACUCAUAAAAGGUGUUUUGACGAUACAAUAAACUUCCCUCCAACUUCUUACCACUUGUGGAUGGAGUUCCUUACUCCUUCCAUAAGUUCUUCGGUUGAAGAUGGUUUGAAUGUGGAGAAUGGAUGAAAAAGAAAUAAUUGAAUAAAAAUGGUAAGAAAUGAAUGAGUUUGGGUGUGAAUUAUGAGAAUGGUGCUAGGAAGGAGGUUAGGCCAAUCUUCUAUCUAAUUUUCUAAGGCUUUUAAACUUAAGAAUGAGAGCAAAAGAAAAAUGAGACUUGAGAGAAACCAUAUAGGCAUAAAUUUAUUAAUCAAAUCAAGUCUUAUGUUUAUAAUAGAAGAACUCUUUAUUUAUAAAGCCAAAAUUGACUAAUGGAACAAAAAACUCUUCAUUCAUGGAGUGAUAUGUGACACCUAAAAACUAUUCAUUCAUGGGUUGCCAUGUGGCAAUAUAUGUAUCCCAAAGCUCUCCAUUCAAGAUGUGACAAGUGGCAUAAGGAGGAGAUGAAGGCAAGCAUGAGGUGCCUAAGUCAUCAUGAAGGACAAGGAAGAGUCGCUUUGGAAAAAGGAAGGGAAGGGCUUCUUGUAGGUGUCCAAGUGGCGCCUAUGUGUAUGUCAAGUAGAUUUCCCUUCAAGCUCUAAGGGCCCAAAAAGUGUAAUAUAGAAUUUUAAAGAUAGAAAUAGAAAUUUCUAAUUACUCUACAAAUUUACAAGACUUUUAGAAAGAAAAUCUUCUAUUAAACAAUUGUUCUCUUCUGGCCUAAAGAUUUUGGGGGUGGGAUGGUCCUCCAUCACUUGAUGUUUUAGUUUACACGACUUGGACUAUCAAUGAAUGUAACAACAUAAUUUCUUGCUUAAUACAAAAAUUCAAACAAUGGUUCACAAAUCAUCUCAGAUGUGUGACCCUAAAUUCAUACAUUUCUCAUCAUUCUCAACAACAUUUUUUGUAUACAACAUAAUUCAUUUAAACAACACCAUAAAUCAAUUCAAUGUACAAUUAUAUAUUAUAUUUACAUUUAUAUUUAACAUUCAUAUUCAAUCAAUUAACAUAAACAUAAAUUAAGAAAAAAAAAUUGUUUGAGUGAAAAAUCAUUCACUUAAGCGAAAUAGGACCAAGAGCAAAGGUUGAGUUUGUACUCUAUUUUUGCUUGAGUGAAAAUAUCAAAAACUCAAUUGUAUUCAAUAGGACCAAACGGACCAAACUGUUUCCAAAAUUUUACUCAAAAUCAUUAUAAAAAGUUCAACUUUUAAAGAAAUUAAAAUGGUCAUCACAACUAUAAUUUGCUUAGUUACCAUACUCUACUGAUUUCAAUUCAACCUUGAUCAUUCAAAUUUAAUAUAAUCUCCAUCCACAUUGAAUACUAAACCUAAACUCACACUAAUACCUGAAAACUAUGGGAACUAACUUUACUCCUUUGAACUAUAUUUAAAAACCAAUUUAAGAAACUUCAUACCUUAACAUGCACAAUUUAACCACUCUAUCAACAUCUUAACACAAGUAAUGAGUUCAGGGUGUUAUAGAUCAAACACCCAUUAACUCAAAACUCACAAUUGCACCCAACUUAAACUCAAGAUAACAAUUCUUAUUCCAAACACAACAAAAGAAUUCACUUUAACUUUAAAGUCAAUUAACAAAGAAAUCUUCAAUUUAACAUGCAUUUGAAUUCUACUUCAAAAUCUAAAUAUGAAAUUGUAACAAAACAAUUAUUUUACUAAAUUCUCACAACUAAACUAAAUCAUGUUUCAAAUUCAUUAUCAAAAUAUCUCUAAGGAUAAUUUUCAUUACUUAUAAUUCCAUGCUUCCAAGUAAGUUCUAGCUAAAAGAGAAGAAUCACUUAAAAUCUAGAAACAACAAAUUAUUCAAAUAUAACAAAAAUUCAAUACAAAUUUUAUAGUUAAGAUUAUCACUUUUCUCAACCCACCAAGAUUCAUGAAAAAAUCUAAAAGAAAAAAAAAUAAUAAAGAAUUUUCAAAAUCAAAUAGUUACUUACUUUAAUUAAAAAACCGACUCAAAAGAAAAAAUUAUAGGAACCAAAAUUAAAAAUUUAUAAUUUUCUAAAUAGUAAAAGCAUAUUUAAUUUUGUUAAAUUUCAUAUUUAAAUUUCUAAAAUAUACUUUGCUACAAACAAAUGAAAUAAAUAAAUGAAAUUAUUACAUUUAGUAUGUUUAUUAUAUUUCAUAAGAUCAAUCAUGAUUACACGGUAUAUUCAAGAUUUUUUAUUAUGGUAUUUUCAGAAGAAAAAAAUAUAGAGUACUAAAAAUAAAGAUAAUUUUACACUGGUUAGUUACAAAUAUUAAUAAAUUAAUUGAGUCUUAUAAUAAUUACCUUAAAAUUUAUACCAGUAGUAACUUAUAACUAAAUGCCAAUAUAAAUACAAUAUCAUCUUAUUGAACUCUUAUUUAUUUUAUUCUUUAAGAUUGAUGAAAAGUUUAUCUUUUACAAACCUUUUGUGCAUGCAUAAUAAAAAAAAUCAUUGAUCUAACCGUUAUGGGUGACAUUUAUUAUAAAGGACAAUGCUAUGCUCAUAUCAUAUAUUCAUAUAUGCCCUCGUGAACUUGCUUUUCCCUUUUUCCUUUUUAACUACACUCGUGAGUCUAUUAAGCAUUGGAUUAAACUAUGGUGACGUGUAUUUCAUUGAAAUGCAUAUCUUAAAAUCGUAAAGAUUUUUAUCUCAUGAUAAAUUAUGGUACAAUUAAAAGUUAUUGACUAAAUGUUCCCAAAGUGAAGGACAAUGUACCCAUGAAUUUUCGAUUUUUGUUUAUCUUAUAAACGAGGUAUUCUAAUUAAGAGAUAAGAGAAAAAAAAAUGUAUUUUUAAAAUUUGAAUACGAUAACAUCAUUUUUAAUAUUUUGAAAUUCUUAAAACUAAAAAUCUCUCUUAAGAGAAGUAUUUAUUUAUUUUCUUGAACAAUAUUUACACAAAAUUUAUUAAAUAAUGUAAUUUCGAUUUCUAAUUCAGUAAUUUAAUUUUUCAUUAUUUUAAUAAUUUUUCCCGAUAAUAGAAAUAAAGUGUAUAAAAGAAGUGUAUUUUUGUCCCAAUUAAUGUAGGGAGACUUUUACGUUUUUUUGUUUUUUUAUUUGAAAUUUCAAUCGAUGAAAAGAAUGAAAAAUAUAAUUAAGUAUAUGUUUCCGUAAAGAUCUGGUGAAAAUAUGUACUAACUAAUCAUUCGAAUUAACAAACACAAUCUUAAUGUCUUCUGAUAUCUCGAAUGAAAUGAAAAUCAAUCUCAAUAUGCUUGAUCUUUUUAUAAAAGAAGAAAUUUGAGCUAAUAUGAAGAGUAACUUGAUUAUCACAUAUGAGUGUCAUCUGAGUGAUCUCUCCAAAUUACAAUUGUUUAAGUAACUAUUUAAGCCAAAUAAACUCACAAGUAGCUGAAGUCAUAACUUUAUAUUUUGCUUCAGCACUAGAUCUUGUCACAACAUUUUGUUUCUUGAUCUUCCAAGAAAUCAAAUUAUCACAAAUAGAAACACAAUAUUCGAAAGUUGAUCUUCUACCAAAUAAAAAUCUUGCCCAAUCAACAUCUGAAUAACAUACAACUCUAGUAUGAUUAUUGUGACCAUAUAACAAGAAUUUUCUAGAAGAAUCUUUAAUGUACUUCAAUAUAUAAAUGACUGCAUUCCAAUGAUCAACACAUGGGAAAUUAAAAAGAAUUGACUCAUCACACUAACUCCAAAUGAAAUAUCAGGAGGAGUAACAAUAAAAUGGUUCAAUUUUUCAACUAGUAUUUUCUACUUCACAGGAUCUGAGAGAGGCUCCCCGUGACUAGGUAGGAGUUUGACAUUAGGAUCCAUAUGUUGUUUUAUUUGAGAGAUAUCAUGGUGAUCACUGCUUGUAAGAACAAUAUUAUCAACAUGUACUACUAGAUAGAUACACCAACACUUGAGUAACACUAAAACAAUUAAUGAUCUACAUCACUACUUGUCAUACCAAAUUGUUGAACAACAUUACUAAACUUUCCAAACCAGACCCUAUGCGAGUGCUUGAGGCCAUAUAAAGUUUUGUGAAGAUAACAUACCAAUCCAGAAGACUCCCCUUAAGCAACAAAACCAAGAUGUUGCUUUAUAUAAGUUUCUUUCUGCAAAUCCCCAUUACGAAAAACAUUUUUGAAAUCAAGUUGAUAAAGAGGUCAUCUUUGAAAAGCUUUCAUGGCUAUGAAUAAACUAACAGAAAACCAUCUUUGCCACUAGAGAAAAAUGUAUCACCAUAGUCCAAACAAAAAAAUUGUGUAUAACCUUUAGCCACAAGAUAAGCUUUGAGACAAUCAAUAGUACCAUUAGGACCAACUUUGAUAGCAAAAACCCAUAUGCAACCAAUAAUAGAUUUCCCAUAAGGUAAAGGAACAAGUUCCCAAGUUCCACUAGUCUGAAGAACACUUUUUCAUCAAUCAUUGUUUGAUGCCAACCAGGAUGAGCUAAGGCAAGUAUAAAGAGUUUGAGAUAGUCGAUGGUAGCUUAAAGUAGUAUAAUGUGGAGAGUGAUUAUGGGUAGAACUUAUAACUUUAUGGAUGAUAAUUAGGAGAUUAGGUUCAACUAUUGGAGACAGAGGGGCGAAGGAGUUGGCACUGGAAGAGAGUCAUUUAGUGGACGAUAAGAAGUGUGAUAACAACUGUAAACUUGAAGAGGUGGUGGAGAAGGAGAAUCUUUAAGUACACUAGACACAACAAAAGGACCAAAGAACAUUGGAAUAUGUACUUGGUCAGAUGAACACACAUGUGGAGAAGAUAAAUACUUAAAAUGCAAAAAAGACUCGAUGAAGGUGACAUCUGCAGAAAUGAAAUAGCGGUUAAGAGAGGGUGAGAAACAUUUAUAUCCCUUUUUAGAUCUAAUGAACCCUAAAAGGACACAUUUGUGUGAUGUAGCAGAUAAUUUAUCAAGACCAUGACAAAAACUGUGAACAAAACAUGUAGACCCAAAAACUUUAAGUGGUUAGGGAUGAAGAAGUUCAUGAGAAAAUAGAAUAUAAUAAGAAAUUUUAUUCUCUAAAAAUGAAGAUGAGAUACCAUUAAUUAGAUAACAUGCACUAAAAGAGAUUGUCUUAAUGUAUCAAAUGAAGGAGUACUAGAUGAAGUAGGUAAACAAUAGAUGUUUGAGAUGAAGCAUUAGAAGAGACUAUAAAUGAAGAUUAGAGACAAAAGAAAAAACUCUAAAAUUCAAAUGGACUUCGACCUACAAGACAAAGUCAAGUUCAUAACAAGAAUGACGUGGUGAUCCUAUCGAUGCGACAAUGUUGUGGCAGAACAAAGACGAUAGUGAAAACAACUCUAGUGAGCAGUGAGUUCAUCAAGAAGGCAAAAAUAUUAACUUACCUCUAAAUACCAUAUUAAAAAAAACAGGAUAAAUAUCUUGUGUAAAAUACACACAUAGAGUUGUUUAUUUAUAAAUGAAAAUAAUAACAUAAUAGCAUAACAAUAACAUAAAUUAUAAUUCAACAAAAAUAUUUAACUUCUAUAUGACCUAUUACUAACCUUACAUUGUAUUUAAAGAAAAAAAGUUACAAAAAUCUAUGUGAUGUAUCAUUUUAAUAGUACUAAAGAGAAAAUACAACCAAAAUUAUUUUCAUUAUGGAUAAAUAAUUUAUGAAAAUCUUAUUAUGAUGAUGAAUCUCGUAACACUUGUUUAUUCUUAAGAAUGAGAGAAAUCUUUAAAACAAUAUUUUAAAAUUCUAAAUUAAGAGAUAAUAUAAAAGUUAUUUAGUCAUAACCAUUUCUUUGUCAUUUUCUAAAAAGCUUAAAAGGGUUUAGAAAAAAAUAAUAUUUAAUACAUGCUUUUGGAAAGAAAAUAACCAAAUAAUAUUGGCUUUGAUACCAAUAUACUUGAUGAAAAAACAUAUAUGUAACGAAGAUUUUUUUUAAAAGACUUGAUGAUUUUAAUCAAAUGGAAAAGAAGAAAGUGUUUCCUGGUUUAAUAUAUUAGGAGCUAUAACAGCGAGAUUUGAUUAUUUUAUAAACAAGAUAAUCGAGUUUCACACAUGAUACUCAAAUUGUUUUUUUUUAUAUGAAAAUAGAUUCACUAAAAUAGAAAAAAUUAAGUCACUUAAAUAUAAAUAGUUAGUUGGAAAUCUCUGUUAAUUUAAUGGAUAAUAACCAAUGAAUCUUGAUAAUUGAUCCAUUAAAUAUAUUUAAUAAUGGUCAUUCCAAAGUCUUAAAAUUAUAUCUCUCUUAAAAAGCUAUAACUAUGAAGUCCAACCUUAAAAGUUGAAGAUGGUAAGCUAUCUUGAAAAUAUGAUAAAAAUUAAUUAUCUUAUCUUUGUAGGAAAAAAUUUUCCUUUCAUUGGAACUUGUGAAAAAGAGAAAUGCAAGUAAAGAAAAAUAAUAACAUAAAGAGAAAUAAAAGAAUAAAUAUUCAUCAUAGUCUAAGAUUAAAAAUUAUAAAGAAUUAGUUAUGAUUUUUUCAAUAAUAAUAAAUAUGACAUGUAAUUCAAAUUAGUUAAUUGAAUUUUUCUAUAAAAUUUAUAACAUAUAUUAUUAGACGUGUGAGACUUCUCACAUAUAACUAUAUAGUUUUAUCUAAACCAUAAAUAUGAUUUAACAUCUCGAUAAAAAAAAAUACCUCGGUAAAGUUAAAUUAAAAAGCAAUGAAGGAGAGCUAAAAAUGAACUAUUUUAAAAUUAAUAAAAUAUUAUUAACUUGUCAAAUUUUGCCACGUCCAUAAAAGCUAGUUCUUAAAGUGGCAUGCUUUGGAAUGGUCCUCCACAGGGACCAGCGUCAUCCACAAACGCCAUUUAUUAUUUUUUAGUAAUGCCAAACAUCGUGCAAUGCAUUGCUUUGUUUACAUUAUAAUAAUCAUUGUUCUAAUAUUUUGCAACUUUAUAAAAGUGGACGAUGACGACGAAAUUACGUGGAAGAGAAGGACAUAUAUCUUAAACAUAUUAAUUAAGAAGUUAUUAAAUACGAUUUAAGUAUAAAAAGAAUACAAUAUGAAUAUGUUAAUAACAUUUAAUAUUUUUAGCUAAUUAGUAAAGAUAAUUUUAGAAAGUAAUAAAUAUUAAAUUUUUAAGUUAUAUUAAGUGUACAAAUUAGUGUUUUAAUUAUGUAGUCAUUCAUUUAUACAUUUUAUAAUGUCAUUAUUAUUAUUUUAAUUUUCGUUUACUUUUCUCUAAUUUUUUGAAAAUCAUUCUCAUUUUUUUUUUCGAUGAAAGAGUACUAGUGAGAUAGUGGUAAGCAGAAUUGAUUUUCACAAAUCAGAAUUAAGUUUUUCUCUUUUUAAUAUCUCAACUUUUUUAUGGUUUAAUUGCAUAUGGAGUUUUAGUCGAAAACACGAAUGUCUGGUAGCAUAGGUUCAUGUUGAUAUCUUUAAUUUGUAAAUCAAACAUCAUGAAUACAAGUUAUAUUUUCUCUACUUUUUUUCAUAGUUUUUUUAGCAAUUCUAUAAAAAAAACACACACACACAAAAGGUAAGGCAACUGACAAAUUUACUUUAUAUUUAUUUAAAAAUUGAGUUGAAAUUAGAUUUCGAGUUAAAGCUCAAACGUGUUAAAAUGAUUUGAGAUUAAAAGUAUAAUUUGAUAUUAAAAUUGUUAAUAAAUAUUAAAUAAUUAAAACUUAAAACUUAAUAUCUCAUUAAACCGUUGAUAAGAUUUGAACAGUUAUACCUUGUAAAUUGAUAGUUUUAGUGAAUCAGGAUUUUUAACAUUAAACCUUUAACAAACUUUAACUUUUGAUUUCAGAAUUUUUUUUUGAUUGUUAGAUUAUAUAUAUUUACUUUAAAAGAUUUUUCAAAUAAAAAAAACUAUGGAAGCUGGAGCAACAACAAAAGUUGGCAAAGUAACUAAACUACAUUGGUAACCAUACAUACACACAUUUUAUUAUACUAUAUAAAAUUAAUAACGGAUGUCUCUCAUAUGUUCAAAUAACAACAAUAAUAAAAUAAAAUUUCAAAUUCCAAAAACAAAAAAUAAUACUAAUAGCAUGUUUGGUUUUCUAACCAAGAAUGGUACUAAGAGCAGCACCGACCAGAAUGGUUAGUGAGUACACUCCGAAACGCGAUUUCGACAUAGAUGACGCGCCGUUUGGCCGGGACGGCGUCGUUUCGUUUGAGGACGAUCCCGGCGAAGACGAUGAAGACGGGCUUGUUGCUGCCGGUGUUGAUUCUGAAGGAGGAGACGACAAUGGUGGCGACGGUGUAGUAGCCGGAGCGAAGGGGGAAGGUGGGUAUGAUGGAGGGAUGGUGGAUGGAUAGGGUGAUAGGGAAGGUGGGGAAGGUGGGGAUGAAGAUGAUGGAGGUUGGGUGACAGGGGAAUUGGAAUUUGGAGUUGGGGCAUAGGGGUAGGGUGAUUGAGAUGUUGGGGAAGGAGUGUUUGGAGGUGACGGAAUGUAGGGAGGUUGGGAAAUGGGAGAAGGAGUGGUGGAUGGUGGUGUGGAAAUGUAAGAAGGUGGCUGGGAUAUUGGGGAAGGAGUGGUGGAUGGUGGUGUGGAAAUGUAAGGUGGCUGGGAUAUUGGGGAAGGAGUGGUGUUUGGAGGUGAUGGGAUGUAAGGAGGCUGAGAUAUUGGGGAAGGAGUGUUUGGAGGUGAUGGGGUGUAAGGAGGCUGGGAAGUAGGAGAAGGAGUAUUGGGUUGUGGAGGCACAUAAGGUGACUGAGAAAAGGGUGAUGGGGUUAUUGGAACAAAGGGUGGUUGAUGAUGAGGGGAAGGGGUGUUUGGAGGUAGAGGAGCAUGGGGUGGAUGGUUAUUAGGGGAAGGAGCAUAAGUGGGAGAAGGUGUGUUGGGAGGUAUGGGAGCAUAGGGUGGUUGAGCUUUGGGAGGAAAGGGAAGAUUAGUAGGAGGUGAAGGUGCUUCUGGAGGAGUAUAAACAGGGGGAGGAGUUUGAUGAGGUGGAUAAG
rnacentral:lncRNA from 1 species